rnacentral:lncRNA from 1 species
AUUAUAAAGGUAGUACUGGGCAGAAAAAAAUGCACAUAUAUAUAUAUAUAUAUAUAUGUAUGUAUUAUUAGAAAAAAAAUGGCAUAGAUAUAGAUACAUAAGAAAUAAGUGAAUUACACCAGCUGGCGCAGUGGCACAUCCGGAAAAAAACAUGAAAGAAUGAGGGAAAUAAAGCAAAGAAUAAAGCUAGGUCGUCACUUAUUUAUUCCAGAAAUGGCCAAUGGCCAUUUCCUAGUGCUCCGACCCUCAGCAAAAUAAUCUCAUCAGUAGCUAAAUCGUGCAGCAAGCAAGAUGCCCUCGAUCUCCAUGGAUCUCCAUCAUGGGUAGGCCGACGAAGGCGUUUCCUUCUUUGGGGCUGACUCGGGUUUUGGCUCGGGCUUAGACUCUGGCUGUGGUUCUGUUUUUGCUUCUGGCUUGGAUUCUGGUUCUGGUUUUGACUUUGAGUAUGACUUUCGCUCUGGCUUCGGUUCAGCCUUCGACUCAGACUUUGGCUCUGUCUUUGGUUCUGGUUGCGAUUCUGCCUUUGGUUCAGUCUGUGGGGUAGGCUCCGAUUUAGGUUCAGACUUGGGUUCAGACUUUGGCUCCGCCUUAGUCUCGGGAUUUGGUUCUGACUGUGGCUCAGACUUGGGCUCUGAUUUUGGUUCUGCGUAUAGCUCGGACUUUGGCUUUGGCUCAGACUUAGGCUCUGACUUUGCUUCUGGUUGUGGCGUGGACUCUGCCUUUGGCUCUGGUUUUGAUUCAGGCUCUGCCUUUGAUUCGGGCUUAGACUCCGAGUAAGUUGCCGGCUUCGACUCCGGCUGCGACGCAGACAUUGCCUCUGGCUCCGGCUUGGGCUCAUCUUUUGGCCCAGGCUUUGCCUGCGAGUAAGAAUCCGACUUCGGCUCCUGCUGCGACGCAGGCUUUGCCUCUGGCUCCGACGACUUCUCAUACGCAGCACGGCCUCGCCUGCUGAGGAAACGGGCGCCAUGCCCUAGUCCCCAACCGCUCGCCGCCCCUUCAUCAGCAAAGGCUCCAAUCGCCGCCACCACCACUCCAAGGAGGAGCACAGCGACGGCAAGGCAAGGAGAGCUCCUCGCCAUGGCUGGCAAAGCUAGCUAAGUUGCUUUGCUACCCCUCCCUCCCUCCCCCUCUCUCUCUCUCUCUCCUUAUCUUCUUCUCCCUCAAUCCUGUGUGCCUUGUGUGUGUGUUUCUCUGAGCGAUGUGCCAAUGGAUGGAAGGGUGGCUGGGAUUUAUAGCCUAGGAACUGGAGCGAAGGAUGGCUGGGGGAUUCAUUGCUGGCGAAAUGCAAGCAGGUGUUGUCACGUGGCUCCACUCCAUGACACCGGGCCAGCCAAUCGAUAUGGUCGGUCUCUAGCAAGCCGCCUCUGCCAACCUCUCAUCGAGUAUCCUGCAUGCAUGCUUCCUUUCUCAAAUCUGCCUUUACACUAACUGGUAACCGUAAUUACUUUCCGCUAAUCAAUCAGCACCUCUCCUCAUUAAUCAAUUCAUUAGUUACAUGUUAUUUUAACUAGGAAGGUAGCCCGCACAUUCGCGCGGGCAUUCAUGAAUCAUUGCUUAAAUAUUUCUUUUAAGAUAUUUUGUUAGUUUAUAAUAUGUAAUAUUUAAUUAAUCUAUAUAAGCACCUAUCUAUAAAAUUAAUCUUCUUCAUCAUUUAAGAAGACAUAGGUCUUUUAAGUCUAAAUUAAAAAGUAAGGUGUUGUUUUUCUUUUUAAUUGAAUGUGUUGGGCUCUUAUUUUAACAAAUCUCAAAAAGGUUAUUGCUAAUAAAUGUGUUUUAUUCCUUUUUUUUAAUUAGUUCACAUUUGACACAAUUAGUUGUAUGUACUUACAUAUGAAUCAACAAAAAUAGAGUAGAUAUAUUCUAGACCUCACUUCCUAUAAUAUGUGUGAUAUAUAUUUUUUAAAUACAUUUAGUCGACCUGAGUUUUUAAACUCAAAUUUAAUAGUAAGGAAUAUAAUAUUUAAAACCAUCAAUCAACUGCUAUGGCAUAGAAUAGAGGGAAGUCUAUUAAUAUGUGGUCACUUAAAAAUGAUGCAAUGGUUAUGUAUGGUUGCCUCAAUUUAAGGGAAAAUUAAGAACCACAGUGAUUCUAAUAAAUUAUAAGAUUUUCUACAAUUUGUUCGUUUACACUCUAUUGACAUUUUUCUUUUUUUUAUUUCAUACAAAUAUUAUUUUUAGUUCAAAUUUAUGAUAUGAUAAAUAAUGACUACAUUACACCCUAUGUGUCAAUUUUUUUAAAAUAAAAUUUUAUCUAUAAGGAAGUAAGAUUGGUAUAUAUUCUCAAUGUUUAUUAAUAAAUGGAUUUUAUGGGACAUAAGGCUACGGUAAAUUUAUGGGCGUGUAUACUACAGUAUAUUUCCAUUAUGUGAUAGAUAAUUCAUUUGGAAACGUUUCGCGAGGCUCUACGCCCAUUGUGAAUAAGAUUUGAUGGGUAAUUAAAUAGAACUGUACAUGCAAAAUUGUUUCUGGAAUGUAAUGUAUUGUGAAUGCUUCCGUGAUUUAAAUAAUUUCUAUAAUAUUUAUGGAAAGCUAGUUUUAUGGGCUAUCAACCCCAACAUAAAACAUGGUCCAAAAUCUUCAAGAGAUGUUGAAAAAAAUUGUAAAGGAAGCUGAUGUAAUUGUUGUGACAUGUGAAACAACCCGGAGUUAGAAUUUUGGUUGACGUUUUCAAUUCACACAAAGAUGAAACAUUUUGAGCACUAGUACUUGACCUAUUAUAUGCAUGUGGUAUCCCUCUUAAUAGUACGACAUCCUAAACUCAAAUGUAAAAAGGAAAGUUAUACCAGCAGGAAUACCAUCACACCAUUUUCUUUCUUCACUUGGAGGGUUACCAACGUCAAGGUCAUUUGAUCAUUGGGAAAAUCUCAUCUUCUUGAUCUUUGACAUUUCAUCUUUCAUUUCUCAAAAGGUUGAUGCGGAUAAUCCAUGGCUUCAAAUGGUCUCGCAUGGUCCAUCACGACAAAGUCUUCACUCGCUCUUCACCACCAGUUUCGGUUCGUCGGCGUCAAGCCCCUUGCUUGUCCUCACUACUGCAUGGUCCAUCGCAGCUGAGCAUCGCUUGCGCUUCACCGUCUUGCCAUAGGUAGUCACUUCAUACCUCGCAUCUUCAACUUCUUGACUUCAAUUCUCAUCCAUCGGUAAAAUCCAUCUUCUAGCUUCUCACACCAUCUUUAUUUCUAACAAUCUUGAACCAUGGUGUAUAUUAUUCAACAUGUCCAUCACCUCAUGAUGGGAUGUCAUCAAGUAUUCUCAUCAUCAACAUUUGACUCUUGUUGAUUCCCAAUAUGUGAGGUAUCAUCCUUUUUGUCAUUAAUCCACAAUCCUAUCACUUGAUUCUCACAUUUGAGCCAUCAACCUUCUUUUUUUGCUUGAGGCCAGAACAUAAUCUGUCAUCACAAACUUAUAGCAAAGGUUAGUUCCAACAACCAUUGUUAUUAAUCACCAAAACUCCUCCUAACACAAAAUUAGAGAACUUGAUCUUUCAGAUGAUCACAACAAAGCGCUUUAAGAAGAAUGCUAAGUGCCUCUAGCUUCUCUUUGUUCAUGUGAGGGAUCUUGUACUUAUUCCCUCUACUAGUUUUCAUUACCUCCAUAUAGCAGCUUUGUACUCCCACGAACACCCUAUUAAGAGUGUUUGGAUCGUAGUCAUUGUAUUCCUUAUGAACAUUCUCUCUUUGCUAGCUCCUCCAUGUUUGUAGAGACCCGAGUAGAUGUUAAGGACUGAAGUGAGCCAAAGAAGCCAAUUCAUAUCAGGGAAAUUUGGAGGUUGAUUCACGAGACGAAUAGCAAGACCCAUUUGAGCUACUGCAACACCAAACUGUUCAUCAUCGAUUCGGACAAGCGUUCUAGCAUUAUCUUGCUGAAUAAAUAUUGUUCUUCUUGCAUCUUCUUGGUGCCAACAUGCUCUAAUAGCUAGGAAAACUUUAAAGAACAUGAAAGAUCUCAUAGUUUAUCUAUGAACCUUGAUAGUGUUCCUCUUUCUCCACUACGGUUGCUCCUUUGUGCGGAUUCCUAUUAGUACAUCAAGACUAACAAGAACCCGCACAAAGAGGACACCGUGGUAACGGAGGAGUUAGCUCGUCCCAUGCCAAGAGCCACAUCGCAGCUCAUCAGCUCGCCAAUUUCAUCGCCUCCCUUCCCCUGCAGUGCAACACCAACUUGCACCAUUUUCUUGCGCACAAAAUCAUUGAACCAAUAAACUAUCAAGUCGUUGCCUUCAUAUCCAAAUCAGGCCAAAACUCGUACUCAUCCAAAUCAAACCCAUCUUGCGUAUAGAUUAUAUUCUUGCCUUCUUCUAAUAAGUGGCCGGAUUUACGAUCAAAUCACUUGUCUCGAAGCUGUUGCCCGCAUCUCCGGGCAGUAGGCCAUAUCCCUCCAUGAUGUGAGUGCACCAUGCUGCUGCUGCCACUGAUCACACCACCCUUCUCCACUUCCCUACAAUCUUGAAUCCCACCGACAUUCUCCUCUGUUUCCCUACAAUCUUGAAACCCCACCCUUCUCCUCCACUUCGCCAUAGUCUUGAAUCCUACCACCCUUCUCCUCCACUUCCCCACAAUCCUGGAACUCAGUCUCGGGCACAAGCUCCUGGUCUGAGGAGAACUGGUCGUCGUUGUACCCAUCUUGUGUAUCCAGAACAAAAUAUUCGCCUUCUUCAAAUAAGUGGUCGUAUCUUCACGAGUACCACAUUCCUCGACGGUGUUGCUUACUGCAUCUGGGAGGCACUUUGCAACCCACCGUCGUCAUCAUCACCACAAGACAACCUCCUGCCUAAGCUGCUACCAUCAAAACCCAACCCUCUGUUGCCAUCGUCAUCAUCGCCGCCGCCACAACCCAACCCUCCGUCGCCGUCAUCACCGCAGCCGCAACCCAACUCUUCACCACCCCUGUAGGCUUGCUGUUGCUGUAGCCCCUAGGGCUUUCCCCUCUGCAGCCCCUAGGGCCUUCCCUGCCGUAGCCCCUAGGGUUUCCGUCACCAGCACCCAUAGUGUUUCCACCACCCCUGCCCCUAGGGUUUUCGUCACCAGCGCCCAAAGGGUUUCCGCCACCACCAUUGGACAUGUUGUCACACACUGGAUGUGGCUUGCUUGUGGGGAAGUGGAUGGGGGUUGUGUGGCGUGAUGUUGGGUGGGAGAAGCGGCGUGGAGGGAGAAGAGAACACGAUGGGGAAGAGGAGAAAACGUGAGAGGAUAAUGCAGCGCUUGGGAGGAAAAUUCGUGUGGAGCAUAAACAUUCGAUGGUAUUAGAUGGACCCACUUCAGUGCGUUUUAUUUGUACGAGUACUUUUCUAACGAGGCAGUUUAGGCAUCAAGCUUUUUGGGACAAUUUCAACAGGGUAAAGCGACCACCUUUGUGGGACGGAGGGAGUAUUAAUUAAACUUGCCCUUACCAUUGUACGGAACAUGGUUAAUGGCAGGUAAACAUCGCGUGAGUGAUAGGACUUGGAGCUAAUCACUGAUGUUAACAGAGCUGAUUACUCAUAAAGAUGGAUGCACAGUUACAUGAAUGCACAGUUCUGACCGUAUUGAUUUUCUCGUUUGUGCAGAGGGUAAACUCAUGACAAUGCUGUCCAUACGGAGUUACUACAGUAAUUAGCAGGCACACCUGGUUGACCAAGAGCUGGUUACUUAUGUCAAUCAGUUUAUAAACAACUAAAAAAAUGAUUUGCAUGUAAAUUUUUACAUUUAUACUUAUCCUUAGUAACUUAAAACACAUUGUAAAACAUACACUACGUUAAAUAUACUCUAAAAUUAGCUUUAAAAUAAUGUUUUAAAAUUUAAAUUUUAGCAAUGACUCAUUUUCGUUGUAUGGCAAAAACGAUAAGGCUCUAGGCCUACAGGUUUCUUUUGGAACUCGCAUUCUAGUUGUUUGCUCAAUGGCUUUUAAGGGUUUUUUUUAUUGUAGUCCAUUUUCUAAUUAAUAUUGUCUUCUAAAACCAUGAAUAAUACAGAUAAAAGUUUACCCAUAAUAUUUUUUUCGUUAUUCACAGCAAAUAAGUCGUAGCUCAACCCAAUCAGAGACUGGAAAUUUUUUAAGGAAUUUGUGAAAAUAAUUUAUGUAGAAAUUUAGUUUCCUGCAUUCAUAUUGGACACGAUCUGAUAGCACAUAGGUUCGUUUAAUAUAUUUUUAGGAAAGGUAGUAGCUAUUAUUAGAUCAGGGAAGCCAAAUGUUGUUAUAAUACUGACAAAUAAUAUUUGUUCUCACCAGCUGAUAAAAUUUUUCGAGGAAGUACCCCCUCUGUCUCUAAAAUAUUUGACGCCGUUGAUUUUUUAAAUAUGUUUGACUGUUCAUCUCAUUGAAAAACUGUUGUGAAAUAUGUAAAACUAUAUGUAUAUGUAAAAGUAUAUUUAAUAAUGAAUCAAAUGAUAUGGAAAGCAUUAAUAUUUAUUUAAAUUUUUCAAAUAAGACGAAUGGUAAAACAAGUUUAAAAAAGUCAACGGCGUCAGAAGAAGGGAGUAGGAACUUGUAUUAAUUAACCAAUAUAGUGCGGAUCAGUUCCAACGAUAGGUUUACCAAUGGAGAAAUUUUACGGUUAUUAAAAGACACCAAAAUAAUUAAGUGUAAUUAAAUUCGAAAUUGCGGUACCGCUCGUCGUCGCCUUAAGAUAGUAAAAUUACUAAAAUUAAUGGAGGUCAGGAGCUUGUUAACCGUGAACCUGCAGACUCGAUCAAACCAGGUACAGAUUGGAUUGCGCUUGAUGAUUGUUUUACAUAUAUAAGUAAGCCGUGCCAUUAGCACUGUAUUUACAAAGACUAAUCGAAAAUGUAAUAGUAACUACGAACAAUUUUGAUAGUUCAGUGUUAGAUAGUUACAGUGUUACACCCUUUUCCUGAUGGAACUUUGUUAGGCAGCCACAAUAUAAUCUAGAAUAAACAACAGGAGGGAUAAUUAUAAAGGUAGUACUGGGCAGAAAAAAAUGCACAUAUAUAUAUAUAUAUAUAUAUAUAUAUAUAUAUAUAUAUAUAUAUAUGUAUGUAUUAUUAGAAAAAAAAUGGCAUAGAUAUAGAUACAUAAGAAAUAAGUGAAUUACACCAGCUGGCGCAGUGGCACAUCCGGAAAAAAACAUGAAAGAAUGAGGGAAAUAAAGCAAAGAAUAAAGCUAGGUCGUCACUUAUUUAUUCCAGAAAUGGCCAAUGGCCAUUUCCUAGUGCUCCGACCUUCAGCAAAAUAAUCUCAUCAGUAGCUAAAUCGUGCAGCAAGCAAGAUGCCCUCGAUCUCCAUGGAUCUCCAUCAUGGGUAGGCCGACGAAGGCGUUUCCUUCUUUGGGGCUGACUCGGGUUUUGGCUCGGGCUUAGACUCUGGCUGUCGUUCUGCUUUUGCUUCUGGCUUGGAUUCUGGUUCUGGUUUUGACUUUGAGUAUGACUUUCGCUCUGGCUUCGGUUCAGCCUUCGACUCAGACUUUGGCUCUGUCUUUGGUUCUGGUUGCGAUUCUGCCCUUGGUUCAGUCUGUGGGGUAGGCUCUGAUUUAGGUUCAUACUUGGGUUCAGACUUUGGCUCCGCCUUAGUCUCGGGAUUUGGUUCUGACUGUGGCUCGGACUUGGGCUCUGAUUUUGGUUCUGCGUAUGGCUCGGACUUUGGCUUUGGCUCAGACUUAGGCUCUGACUUUGCUUCUGGUUGUGGCGUGGACUCUGCCUUUGGCUCUGGUUUUGAUUCAGGCUCUGCCUUUGAUUCGGGCUUAGACUCCGAGUAAGUUGCCGGCUUCGACUCCGGCUGCGACGCAGACAUUGCCUCUGGCUCCGGCUUGGGCUCAUCUUUUGGCCCAGGCUUUGCCUGCGAGUAAGAAUCCGACUUCGGCUCCUGCUGCGACGCAGGCUUUGCCUCUGGCUCCGACGACUUCUCAUACGCAGCACGGCCUCGCCUGCUGAGGAAACGGGCGCCAUGCCCUAGUCCCCAACCGCUCGCCGCUUCUUCAUCAGCAAAGGCUCCAAUCGCCGCCACCACCACUCCAAGGAGGAGCACAGCGACGGCGAGGCAAGGAGAGCUCCUCGCCAUGGCUAGCAAAGCUAGCUAAGUUGCUUUGCUACCCCCCUCUCUCUCUCUCUCUCGCUCUCUCUUCCCUUAUCUUCUUCUCCCUCACUCCUGUGUUUCUUGUGUGCGUGUUUCUCUGAGCGAUGUGGCAAUGGAUGGAAGGGUGGCUGGGAUUUAUAGCCUGGGAACUGGAUGGAAGGAUGGCUGGGGGAUUCAUUGCUGGCGAAAGGCAAGCAGGUGUUGUCACGUGGCUCCACUCCAUGACACCCGGCCACCCAAUCGAUAUGGUCGGUCUCUAGCAAGCCGCCUCUGCCAACCUCUCAUCGAGUGUUCCGCAUGCAUGCUUCCUUUCUCGAAUUUGUCUUUACACUAACUGGUAACCAUAAUUACUUUCUGCUAAUCAGUCAGCACCUCUCCUCAUUAAUCAAUUCAUUAGUUACGUGUUAUUUUAACUAGAAGAGGUAGCCCACGCGUUCGCGUGGGCAUUCAUGAAUCAUUGCUUAAAUAUUUCUUUUAAGAUAUUUGUUAGUUUAUAAUAUGAAAUAUUUAAUUAAUCUAUAUAAGCACCUAUCUAUAAAGUUAAUCUUCUUCAUCAUUUAAGAAGACAUAGGUCUUUUAAGUCUAAAUUAAAAAGUAAGGUGUUGUUUUUCUUUUUAAUUGAAUGUGUUGGGCUCUUAUUUUAACAAAUCUCAAAAAGGUUAUUGCUAAUAAAUGCGUUUUAUUCCUUUUUUUAAUUAGUUCACAUUUGACACAAUUUGUUGUAUGUACUUACAUAUCAAUCAAUAAAAAUAGAGUAGAUAUAUUCUAGACCUCGCAUCCUAUAAUAUGUGUGAUAUAUAUUUUUUAAAUACAUUUUGUCGACCCGAGUGUUAAAACUCAAAUUUAAUAGUAAGGAAUAUAAUAUUUAAAACCAUCUAUGUACUGCUAUGGCAUAGAAUAGAGGGAAGUCUAUUGAUAUGUGGUCACUUAAAAAUGAUGCAAUGGUUAUGUAUGGUUGUGUCAAUUUGAGGGAAAAUUAAGAACCACAAUGAUUCUAAUAAAUUAUAAGAUUUUCUACAAUUGGUUCGUGUCGGAAGUACUCCGAACCCCUUAUUAUAUUUGAAGGAUGAAUAGAAUAAAUCAAUUCUUCCAUCAAACAUAAUAAGGCAUUCGACGCUGCGAGAGAAAGAUAUAUGAGACCUGUUAACAACCAAAUUUGGUAAUUGCUGGGCCUUUAGCCUGCCAGUUAACUUCAGCCCGAGAUGUGCCUGUCAAACCACUCGAUGGCGGUGAUCAGAUGUGUUACACAUUCAGGAGACUUGACACAAAAUAGCUAAUGAUCUACAUUGUCUCAAAUAUCUUUAACUCAUACUCAUGUUUAAUAUCCUCCUAACAAAAGGAACACACUAAACACUUUCAUCCAAGCACAUGAUAUCUCUAACAUAAGGAGUUCUAAGUUCUAAGUCUUAGUUAGUAUCAUACAACAUAGUACUUAGAUAUAUAUGGCCGACCGGCCAAAUAGUUAGGUUCGCGGAAGCAUUUUCUACCCAAAAGAUCUUUCAUGCAACUGACUAGGGUAGAUCCUAGUAAGAACCAUUAUGGAAGAACGAAACAUCCCCUGUGAAAUCAUACAUCUCAAGAGUGAUCUCACCUGCAACCAAGUCUAAGCAUACAACAAACCAACAAUUCAAGCAGGAGUCAGUACAAAUAAAUUGUACUGGCAAGCACCAAGCAAGCCUAAUACUCUACAUGCAUGGCAUAUUCAAAGUAAAGCUUACAAUGGAUAUUUUUAGCAUAAAGCAUAUUUUGUUUGAAAGACCAUUUUCAAAUUCAGAUUUCCUUUCAAUUAAAUUUCAGUAAGCUUACACUUAGCAAAUGGGCAUCAAAGUAGGUGUUAAUCACAUAUAACAUAGCUCCUUAUUACCUUCCAUGGCAGCAAGGACAUAAUCCACAAAUCACAUCACAUUUUGAAGUUUAAAUUCAGCUUUUGGAAGAAUAAAACACAAGUCUAUACUCAUGACAUAUUCACAUGCCGCUCAUGACUGCGAGCAUGGCUAAUCGAUUAGUUUUAACUCUGUAGAGUACGUACACUUUACCCACAUGAUGCGAAAUAAUAAUUAUGCAAAAGCAUGGUACGCGAUACAUAAGUACCCGAUUUAUAACUCACAACAAAGCCCUUCAAAAAUUCAUGAUAUAGCCUUACACCUACACGAUACGUGUUCCUUCAUCCUAGUCAUACUAGAAAUAUGACCUAGAACCGUUAAGUGGCGGGCCCAUGCCUUAAACUUAAUGCUGUGGUGACAGACACGACGGGAACCCACCACGUGGCACUAUACCGUUGUAUUGGACACGCUUAGUCAUCUAAACUACCACAUCGGGGUAAAUAGGAAGCUCCUCUGAAUUAUUCGAACUCAUACACACUGGCCUACCAAGAUGUAAGGCUAAACCAUAAAUAAUUUACUAAGCUUGGGCUAUCUCAUACUAGCACAUGUGGUUGUACUGUAUACGAAAUGAACUGACAUUGAGUGAAGUCCUUAGGUCGGUCUAGGCACACUCUCCCCCUAUCAGCACACAACUAAUCACCAUAUGUAUACCACAUGAGGCCCAAACCUAAAAUCCACAUUUUCCAAUAUUUUAUUUAACAAAUAUCACAUUUUAUCAUUUCUGUCAAGACCAUAAAUUAGAUCAUUUUAUAUACAUAAUUGAGCCCAAAUGGUAAGUAAACCCAACACUAAGCAUGACUAAGCAUUUUCAUAGACAUGUGACCUCAAACAUCAAACUUAAUGUGACAAAAUGAAUUGUUCCUAAGGCUAGGAAUAAUGGUUAAGGUCUUUUGUGGAGUUUAGGUGAUAAUGCAAGUUAAGGAGUUGAUCUAACAAAUUUUACAAAGUUUUAAUGGAUUAGUGUACAAUCGACAUGCACAUUUUGCAAUUCUUUUCAAAAACCUCCAAAUCAUAGGUUCAAUGUGAUCAAAGAGGGGAGGUGGCUUGCCUUGCUCUACUACAAAGUAGGUCUCCUCGUGAUUCAACUGCGAAUCAUCUAAACAUACAUAUGCAAAAUCAAAAUUAUAAACAUACACAUUAAAAUCCAACAUGCUCUAAAAAGAAUGCUUUUCAUAGAUUAAGUGUGUUCUGUGUUAAAUUGAUUUUUAGUGAAAGAAUUUUCAUUUUAACAGUUUCCAUUCAAAACUUACAAAUUUUUAAAGUGUCUUCAUGUUAAAUAUAGACCUACAUGCAUUUCGGAUUUUUGAGACAUAAAUCUUCAUGAUUUUGUUAAGUCUAACAUUUUUAUAUGCAGAGCAUAAAAAUAUGAUUCCAACAAAAUUUAGUUUGUAAAUUUUAGAGUUAGAAUGAAUUUUCUACUAAUUUCUAAAGUUUUACCAUUUUUCAGUUGAUGAGAAACUAGUUUUGCAUUUUCUCUAUUUUUCUCAAAUCAUUAUCUCUCUCGGGUCCACCGGUCAGUGACUAUACUUUUGCGCAUAAGUCCCUGGUUCUCGGGAAAUAGAUCCAGCAGACCCUGAGCACGUGUUCCAGGAUUUUAUUCAAAACGGUACUUGAGUUUUAAGUUAUUUACUCGUUAGUACACAACCCCACAUGUAAGUGUCUAAAUGAUUUUCUUAAACACCCUGGAAGUUUUAAAAGAUUGCAAGGUUAGGCCCUUGCUCUUGACGGAGCAGAGGGGCAGCUCUCCCGCGAGCUUCCCCACAUUGCCGGCGGCGAACGGCGGCGAUUCAGUUCGAGCUCCCAAAACAAAAAGUGUAGAGGACAACCGUACGAACCUAUCGGUAGCUUUCUUGCAAGAUUUGGUGCUCUAUAGCGGCUGUUAAGGUGUUAGAGGUGGCGGCUAGCUUUUUUGUAUGGUAAGGACUCUAGGGACUACUAGGAAGCUCACCAAGCAACGCGAGGUCUUGGCGAUGGAGAGCUGGUCGGGCGGCGGCGCAGCGGCUUCGGUAUCGUCGGCGAUGCACCUUCGGGCUUGAUCUGUUCAAAGCGAUUUUAGAUGGCACAAGAUAGCUCUAGGCUUAAAAGAAUGCGCCGAAGCUCACCAGAGAAGGAGGAAAAAGGAAAAUGGCGUCGGCGGCCAGAGUUGCGGAUGAAAAAGGGGAUCUCCCGCCGAGGUCCAACUCAGAUCGAUUCCUUUGGGAUUCUUGAUCCACUACUAAAAAAAUGAUUUUUCAUGGCGUUUGGAAAAUAUUUUUCAUGGCGGCUAAGUGAAAAAACCGCCAGCGCAGAAAAUCGCGGGGGUCGGGGGUCACGGGCCGCCAGCGGAAACACAACUUCGCUAGCGGUCGCCUUAAGCCGGCCGCCAACGAAUAUAUGGUAUUUUCACUGGCGGCCCUCUUAACUUGACGCCAGCGAAAAUCGUCAUUUUCGCUGGCGGUAGGUUAAGAAAACCGCCAGCAAAAAUAGCCUAUUUUUGCUAGCGGAGUUGUUACCAUUUUCGCUGGCGGAUAAUGGAGAGCGCAAGAUAAAAAAUCAAGCCAUUAAGAAAUCACCGCGCGCAUCCACCUACCCGUCCUUAUCCUCUCUCCUCCUCCCUCCUCCCUCCAUAUCUAGCCCUCUCUUCCUUCCUAGUCCCUCCAAAUCCAACACCUCCUCCCUCGGAUCCACAGGCGGCAGCACUCGCGAGCGAUCGGAGGAGAGGGCGGCGGCGAGCUUGGGGCGCGGGCGGCAUGCUCGGGCGUGGGCGAUAGCGCUCGGGUGCGGGCGACGCAGGAGAGUGCGGCGGCGAGCUCGGGGCGUGGGUGGCGAGGUCGGGCGUGGGCGGCGGCGCUCGGGCACGGGUGACGGAGGAGAGGACGGCACGAGGUCAGGCGUAGGCGGCCCGGGCGGCGGCGCUCGGCGACAGGGAGGCGCGAGGCACCGGAUCCGGCGACGGGGAGGUGCGAGGCGGCGGAUCCGGCGACGGAAAGGCGCGAGGCGGUGGAUCCGGCGACAGGGAGGCGUGAGGCGACAUAUCCACAGGUCUCUCUCCCCCACUCCUCACUCCUCCCCAUUCCCCGCCGCCACCACCCCCUCUCCCUCUCUCAAAUCUAGCGUUGCGUGGCUUUGCAGCGGCGGUGGCGAGGCGGAGAAGGUGGAGGUCGCCGAGGCUCGGCAGCAGGGUCGUCGAGGCGGUAGAGGUCGCCGGGGCUCGGCAGCACUGCAGCAGCGUCGUCGAGGCGGAGGCGGUUGAGGCCGACGGGGCUCGGUAGUGGCGACGGUGAUGGUGGAUGGGACUUCAAGGAUGACGACGCCGGCGACGGCGGUUCUCUGUAUUUGUGAUGCUUGUAAUAUUUGUGAUGAUAUUUGUGAAGCAUUGUAUUUGGAUUGAUGCUUGGUGUUCAAAUUUUUUGUUAAAUGUGUGGAUAUUUUUUAUGCUUGAAUGCUUGGGAGAAUGGAAAUUUUUAGCUGUAAAUUUUUCAUGUAAAUUUAUGUGUGGAUGGAGUUCUGAUGGAGGUAGACGGAGCAGUGUUUUUUUUAAUAUAGUUUUGCUUUUCAAAUUUCCGCCUCUUCGCUGGCGGCUAGGGCAGCUGCAUGGUUUUGAUUUUUGCUGGCGGUUGGUGGAAGACAACAGCCAGCAAAAAUGGAUCUUUGCUGGCGGUUGGCUAAAGACGACCGCCAGCGAAAAUUCAUUUUCGCUAACGGUCGAUAACCGCCAGCGAAGAUCUUGAUCUUCACUGGCCUUUGCUUUGUGGCGGCUCUAAAUUCCGCCAGCAAAAACCUAAAAUGGCCGCCACGAAAAAUGGUUUUCGUAGUAGUGAUCAAUGGAGGUUGAUGAAGCUCGUGGCGAAGUGGUUCAGCUUGUCGCGAACCGUGGUAAGCCGGGCAACGAACAAUGGUGAUGCGGCGGUGUCCAAAGCGCGGCGGCGUCCCAAGUUGACGCGGUCGCGUUCCCAGAGAUUGGCUGCACCAAAUGAGGCGUUCUUGGUGGUGUUAGAGAGGGUGUUGAGAGUAGACAAGGGCGAGAGAGAGAGAGAGUGAUGGUCCGGUGGUCGGGUAAUAUAUGGUGUCGCCGGCAGAGGAAAGGAGGAGGAGCGCACGUUGCCGGCGUCCAUGCUCACGCGCGUGGCGUGAGUGUUCUGGCCGUGGGCCCGUGUGGAGAACGUUGUGAGGCUGACAAUAAGGUCCCACCAUGCAGCCCUGGCCCACAUGGCAGUGAUUUGCGUGAGAGAGGGAAAAGAGAUCUAGGUUUUUGACCAAGUCUGGGACUGUGGUGAAAUUCCAACUUUGGGCUCGAUUUAAAAUUAGUUCCAGGCAGAAUUUGGGUUAGUGACCAGUGGCAAAGUUGUAAAACAAUGUUUACUCUACAGGUUGGAUCAAGUCUUACAGCCUAGGAGUCCAAGGUCGAAUUUUGGCAAGGUGUCAAUGUGUGCUCCAGAGAAUCUGUCAAAAUCCUGUGUUUGGAGAGUUGCUUGGUCCAUCUAAUGACUUGAUAAAUCGAACUAAAAUUUACAUUUGUUUUCUAAGGUUAGUUAGAAGUUUACAUAGAUUUUCCCCAGAUUUUUGAGUUGUUACAAAUAUUUUUCUUAAGCUCAUUAGUUUUACUUAAGAAUAAAUAUGCUCCUAUAAUGCAUAUGCAAAACAUCUCAAAAUGCAAAAGCAAUUAAACAUAAAAUUUUUAGGCAAAAAUUUUAUUCAUUUUACUUCAUCCAUCAUUUCCAUGUUUUCCAUACAUCCAAACUUGUGGUAUGUGACAGUUCGUUUACACCCUAUUGACAUUUUCUUUUUUUUAUUUCAUACAGAUAUUAUUUUUAGUUCAAAUUUAUGAUAUGAUAAAUAAUGACAACAUUACACCCUAUGUGUCAAUUUUUUUAAAAGAAAAAUUUAUCUAUAAGGAAGUAAGAUUGGUAUAUAUUCUCAUUGUUUAUUAAUAAAUGGAUUUUAUGGGACAUGAGGCUACGGUAAAUUCAUGGGCUUGUAUACUACAAUAUAUUUCCAUUAUGUGAUAGAUGAUUCAUUUGGAAACGUUUUAUAUAUAGUGUGUGAGGCUCUACGCAACCAUUAAGAAUACGAUUUGAUGGGUAAUUAAAUAUAACUGUACAUGCAACAUUGUUUUUGGAUUGUAAUGUAUUGUGAAUGCUUCUUUGAUUUAAAUAUUUUCUAUAACAGUCUGUUUGGUUGAAGGGAGUUUCUAGGAGGGAUUGGGAGUUUAAAGGGAUGAGGCUAUUAACUGUUUUGUUUGGUUAGGGGACAUGGCAAUUUUGGUGGGAUGGGGAUGGGGAAUUGAGGAAUGAAUUCUCUCCUUUUCAAUACCUGGGUAGGGGCAGGUAAUUGGGAGGGAAUUCCUCUUUUACUUCGCCUAAACAAAUCUCAGCCAUCCGUUUUCAUUAAUGAUCUAAUCUCCAACUAAACUCCCUAUCAAUUUCCACCACCUCUACCAAACAAGAGACUGGGAUGAAAAAUCAAAUUCCCAUCUUAAUCUCACCAUCAAUUUCCUCGUGUAAACUCCCAAUCCCCUUCCCUCAAGUUGCCAAACAAGCCGUAAUAUUUAUGGAAAGCUAGUUUUAUGGGCUAUCAACCCCAACAUAAAACAUGGUCUAAAAUCUUCAAGAGAUCUUGAAUCCCUUUCAACUCACACAAGGAUGAAACAUUUUGAGCACUAGUACUUGACCAAUUAUAUGCAUGUGAUAUCCCUCUUAAUAGUACGGCAACGUAUUCUGUGCACUCAGGCACUUCGGUGCACUCGUGCACUCGCUCGAUCUACACCCUCGAAUCUCGAUCUGAAGGAUGUGAUCGAAGAAAGACAUUUUUGCAUAAAACCCUUUGUGCUAUGCUGCUCGUGGGGUGAAGUCUGGAAGGGAGAAGAAAGAAUAAAACGAGGGGUUGUGUGUAGAUCGAAAACCUCAUCCGGUCCUCCAUCUCCGCUCGGCGUCAAUGGAGGCUCGAAUCCGCCCGGCAAAACCACAGUCGACGGAGUGGAAAAUCAAGUUUAAGCCUCCCGUUUUCCUUUUUCAAUACUCCUCUCUAAUCCUACCAUUUAAUUAAUCUCUCUUUCUAUCUCCUGGCUGUAGAUUUCGUUGCAUCGGCUGCAGCAUAAGCGACUCCAUUCAUUGUACUCGCUAAUUUCUUGUGCUCUUUGCCUUUUUGAGGUCCGUCGACGGCAGCAGCACUGAUGGCGUAAUCGCUAGCCAUGCAAACUAGCUGAUGCUACAAAGCACAAAGAGAGGCAAAUUUUCAAAGCUGUAGUCGUUGAUUUAAGAUUGCUCGUGUAUAAAUUGUGUAUAUCUUGAUGUAUACACCUUAGAUUGUCUUGUUUCUCCCAUUGAGAUGUGAUUGCUCGAGUGUAGACUCUUGGCAUUCGACAUCAUUGUCAUUUUUGUUCCUUUUAUAUGUGGCUGAUGCAUGUCAACUAAACACAAAAGCUUUUGUUUUUGCCUCUGUGGAGCAUGAGUUUCCUAGAGUAUUUGAGCCGCAGCUGACGCCGCGUGGUGAGGGAGGACUCUGAGAAGAUUUUUGAGCCGCCGUCGUCACUUCGUCACCACACGGAGAAGAAGGAUUGGGAUGUUUUAGAUCUGGGGUGAAGCCUGGAAUCCUGGACGGGAGAAGAAAGAACAAAACGAGGGGUCAUGUGCUAACUUAGCAAGCGCGGGGGGUUUUAUGAAAACAUAUCUUUCUUUGAUCACACCCAUCAGAUUGUGAUUUGAGGUUCUAGAUUAAGCGAGUGCAUGAGUUUACAGGAUACGUUGUACGGCAUCCUAAACUCAAAUGUAAAAAGAAAAGUUAUAUCAGCAGGAAUACAUUCACACCAUUUUCUUUCUUCACUUAGAGGGUUACCAACGUCAAGAUUAUUUGAUCAUGGGGAAAAUCUCAUCUUCUUGAUCUUUAACAUUUCAUUUUCUAUUUCUCAAAUGAUUGAUACAUGCAACAUUGUUUCUGGAAUGUAAUGUAUUGUGAAUGCUUCUCUGAUUUAAAUAUUUUCUAUAAAAUUUCUUAUUAAAUGUUAGGAAUUGUGAGAUCGAAACCAAUCACUCUGUAUUUGUUUUAGCUAGCCUUUACUUGGUAUGAAUUAAUUAGAAUUAAAUUACAUAAUGCUUUUUGUAAAGCCCACAAUGCAUAUCCGAUCCAACUACCAUAAAAUUUUAAAAAGAGACCCUAGAAAGUCUUUAUGUUCCAACGACCAAAUAAAUUAUUUUAAUUUUUUUGCAUUCUAGUAUAUAUAUUGUUUGUUCCUAUUUAAUACACCCUACGGCUAAAAAGUUAAGGCAAAGCUAAGCACAUUGUGCCUUCUCCCACUCUGUAUAUGCAUUAUUCUUAACUCCCUGAGUUUGGUCUACGUACUAUAUAUCUACCGACUUCUAUUGCAUUCCGUCACGCAUAUUUGCGCAAGAAAAUAUUUGGGUUCCAAAUUAUAAAAAAGUUAAUUACAAUUUGUUCCAGAAGUAAAUCUAAUGGUUGAAAAUAAUUGGUCAAAUAUUUUUACUUUUUUUCUUUGAAAUUUCUAAGGUUUUUUUUCUAAUUUUUUAGACAUGGUGACUUAUGAGUGCUUUACAUCAUGUUUUUUUUGUAAUUAUUAUUAUUGAUUGACAUGUAAAGGAUAGGGGCUAUGUUCAAGUGAUGUAUUUUAUUUUUUUAAUAACGACAAGUAUGGUUAAUAUGGAUCUUGAAUUAUUUGUUUAAUUAUAAAUAAAACAACAGUUAAAAAAUUAAAAUCAUAUAUAACUUUUUAAAUUAUAAUUAUUUAGCUAUCUAAUUAUUGGUUGGUUUAUAUUAUGUUGUUAUUUAAAAAUAGAAAAAUUACAGAGGAGGAAAUUGGACAGGAGAGGAGAUAUGUGUAUGUACUUAUGGCAAAGGGAGAGUUUGGGAGUUUUUGUUCUUUUAGAUAGAUCCAAUUAAUGGGUUGUUAAUGCCAAAAUUUGGUAUGCCCGAAGUCAUCAUCGGCCUAGAGUCAGUAUCGGCUUCAGAGUCUUAGAAUCGGCCGAUGGGAGUUGUGAAAUCGCCAGCAGUUGUGUUCUUGGUAGAGUCGGAUCAAUUAAAGGAAAUUUAUCUAGAGAGUCCGAGUUUAAGGAGGAUACGGCAUGGCAAGUAUAUCUAUUAAUUAGGAUAAGUUUGUUAGUUCCUUUUAUCUUUAGGAAAGUGUGUUUAGUGUCCUCUAAGGACUUUAUGUUUUCCUUUUAUCUUUAGGAGAGUUUCUUUCUUGUCCUACAAGGACUAGUAUCUCCCCAUGGGUAUAAAUAUGUACCCUGGGGUCAUUGUAAGAUAUCUCUCUCGAUCAAUAUAACUACUCUCGGCGCAUCGCCACCCUCUUUCGUGAGGUUUUUACUUAUCAUCCGGCAGAAUUUGGCACCUGACGCGGGGCUGCAUCGGUUCAGUUCGAUCUCCGGCGAAGGGGUAAGUUCUACGUUCCGCCGCUGGCGCUGGCGAAUCUACCGGCUAUGUUGGUGUUGUUCAAGGCUGCAUCGCUUCGAUCUCUUGGAUCGCUCUGGUUUGGUUGAUAUAUUUGCCUACCUGAUAUCUCAAUUCUAUCUCUAAUUGCAUUGUGUUUAGAGACGCAUCGGUUUAGCUGGGACUGUCUCAGUUAGGUCCGAUCUUCUGUCUUAGCCGAUAUAUCUUUACAAUCACAAUGGUGUUCUAAAUAGAUUUUUUAUAUCCAUCACAUUAGACAGAUCUAUCGGCUCAUCGGGUAUUAGAUUAUCAUAUACAAUCUCGUGCUGUAUCGGUUAGAUUCGACCUACUAGAUUGUUCUUGAUAAUAUAAAUCUUGUUAAGCCGAUAGGUUCAUGCUAGUGUUUUAUCGGGGUGCUAGCCGAUAAGUUAGAUUUAGCCGAUGACAACAAAUACUUUAUUGAUUUAUCUAAUAUUGUGGAUUUUAUGACAUCGGACCUCCAGCCGAUGUAUGCUUUAACCUUCGGAUCAAUACUUGUUCUAUUAUAUCAUAUUGUUAGCCGAUUGGUUUCUACUGGAUUAUAUUGCUAUAAUAUUGUUAUUUUUCAUCAUCAGUCGAUCGCCUUUAUAUCAUUAUUUACAUUGGACAUAUAGUCGAUUGCUGAAAACCCUAUCGCUAUCAGCUAGUAUCGGCAUCGGCUGGAAUUGCUCCAUCGGCUUGUCAGCCGAUCAGCUUAUUGGUCUACUAUUUGCAUAUCUUAUCCGUUGCAGGGUCAAACUGACUGGCACGCCCGCAUCUCGUUAACCUUUGGACCUGCACUGGAGCUAAGCAGAUCUGCCAGGCCAGUGUGUUUUUUUUUUUGCAUCAACACGGGUUCAUCGGUCUAAAUUAUCUUUAUUUAUACAUAAAUAUAAUAUUAACAAACAAAGUAAUGUAUUUCUUUUACCACUUAAUUAUUUUAAUCUUAUUAAUUAAUUCUUUGUGUUUCAUAUUAUUCUAAUAUAAGCUACGUGUUGUUAAUCGGGUGUUUAAAAAUCUAUAUGAUAUCCCCUUAAAAAUAUGUCUCAAGUGACCAAUUAAUAGCUAGUCCAAAGCAAUAAUUUUUUUACUUGUUAAAUAUAUAUAGUUAUGAUUUGGGCCUUCAAUUAUAUGACAAAAUCUAAUAUAGUACGUGGAUAAAAAAUAGCUAUAAGAUUCAGAUAAGAUAGUUAUGAUAUAAUAAUAUGUUUGUGUCUAAUACAUCUAUACUAGUUGCCCGCUUGCAAUCCUAAUGGUGAAAUCAUCCUCUUUCAUCUCAUCCGUCCAUCCACCAUUUCAUUUAAUCUUAUCCGUCCAUAUGCCAUCUCAUCCCACUCCACCGAUGCCAAUGAUUUCGGCAACCCGGGCGCGAUGACUCCCGCCAUCCCCACGCGCGCGCUACUCACUCCCUCCGGCCGUCCCAGCACGAUUACUCCGCCCCCGUGCUCCUCCUCACUCCUCUCCUCCUUGCUCUACGCCUCCUCGCCGCUGACACCGCUGAGCGCUCCGCGCGCCCCCGUAGCUCCCUACACACUGCCUUCCCCACCUCCGCUGUGCCGCCCUCCCCAUGACACCACUUCCCGCUCCGCCCCAUGCGCCGGACGAGACCACGCCACGGCGCCGGCCCCCACGACCGCCGCCGCCGCCGUAGCAGCAGCGUCGGACUACGCGCACUACCCGAGGCUCUCGCCGGAGGACGUUGCCCCGCCUACCCCUGCACCCUACCACGCCGCGGCCGCCCUUCUCGGGCAAUCCCUACGUCUCCUCCCCCGCCGGCGGCGUCGCACCCGCCUCCAAGAGUGCGUUCCAGCAGCCAAAUCUGCCCUCCGUUGUUGCCAGGAUUACUUGCGGUUUUUUUAUAGCUGUUUCGGAUUUCCAUUUUUGCAGAUACAAUGGAUACGGUGAAGAAUGUUCUUGGCAAGAUGGGGAAGAGGUUAGGAGAGGCGGCUCGCAAGACGGAGUCCCUCAACGCCCGGGACUACCCCCGACGGUUCCCCCUACUGCUGGAGCCACUGCGGCGCUCGACCAGGGACGCCGGACUAGCGCCGACGGGCCACUGUAGCGCCGAGCCACCACCGCGGUCCCACGUUCUGCCUAUUCGCGCACGCCACGCUGGUCCGAGUUUGUCCCCGCCUGCACCAAGUUUGUCCAACGUUCCGCCAAACAUUCUUCGAGAUGCUUGGGAACUAGUGAUUUGGGGACUACUUCAAGAUGGAGGCAUCUCACUCAGGUAUUGAAUCGUUCUAGAUUCCCUGUUUAUUCCCAUUCUCAUGCAAUUGCGGCCGUGCUGUGCGAAUCUAAUGUUGCUUCUAAUUUGGACUGGAAUCAUGGUUGGUUGGGUUGGCGAGUUGCAGAUUUCAAGGCUGUUCAGUGAGGAAAACUGAGGGGUAGAUCUGUUGAUGAUUUGGGGAUAUAAUGGUGUAGCCCCUGAUUUUUUGUUACAACAUGACAGAAAUUCAGUAUUAUUGGAUGGAUUCACGCAAUGCGCUGCAAUUUGUGCAGAAAAGGCAGUUUUUUUGUUGUGUAUGAUAGAUCAAGUUUAUUGGAUCAGCUUCUCUUCGGAACUCCCCAUUCGAGUUGUUGUGUUUUGGUAUGUGGGAAGUAUAUACGCGAUUUUGCUCCAAGUUUGUCUUGAUAGAAUUUAUCUGCGCUGGCACACUUGAUUCGGCACAAAGUAACUUUCUUGCUUUCCCAUCCCCAUUAGUCCUAUUUUUAUUUGUCAAAUUUUUGCCCUGCUACCAUUUUUGCUUUACUGACUCAUGCAUCCACAGGUCCACAACACUGUGCCUCCGCCGACACCGCAGCCAGAUCGACCAGUCAAGCAUCCACUGUGCCGAUGUAAUCCCCAGUCAAGCCAGAUUGAUGGGCAGAUCCGAUGCACCGGCCAGAAGAACGGGCUGCUCAGUUGUAGGUGAGUUAAACUUUGCCAUCUUCCUUUGACUCCUCAAUUACCUUCUUGGUUUGCUAGGUGCUCCAUGAAAUCCCGAUUAGCAAAUUUGUUGUUUUGUCUACCAGGAUUGGUUUCGCCCAAAACUGAAGUGAAAAGAAUUUGUUGGUGAAAAAAGAAGUUCAGAAUCACAGGUUAUGUCUCUUGAUUGCAAGACAAACUGAUUAACUGUGCUUGCAAGGGUGUUUGUAGAAACGGCUUAACCACUAUUUCUUCCCAAUCCUGGUAACAAGCAACAGACACAAGGUAAUAACCUUUGGUGCCAGAUGCUGCAUCACACUCCUGAGUGAGCAGCAAAUGUUUGACAAAAUGCUUCUUAGGUACUGUUACUACUCUUGCAUGCUAUUUGAUUCUUUUUUUCCAGGCCCAGUUGGCAGCUAAACUAGUAUUGUUUACAAGUCAAAGAUAUAUAUAUUGCAGAGAAGAUCUUUGGUAUGUGUUUGGCCUUUUAUGUUAAGCGAUAAAUGACAUGCAAAACAUAAAUUUCAGGUUUGUCAUUACUCAAAUACCCAUUGACUGUAUGCGUUGUUUCAAGUUGCAGAACCAUACCAUUGUCCUUUACAGUAUAUCUAAUCAUACUUUUUUUUUGUCCAUUCAUACUCCAUACAAACUAUUCUCAAUUCUCAACUACCAAUGUCUUCAUAUGGAUGAUCUUCAGUUGAUGAUCUUGCUAAUUUAAGUGUCGUGACAUUAUCAGGCUCUAAGGAAGGACAUGGCGAUCUGCGAGAGCAGCAUUGAUAUUAUCAAGGUAACAGCGGCCAGUGUAGUGCCGGUUAAUCUUGUAUGAAUACAGUCUUUAUAUAUGCACACUGCCGAUGUAGUACUAUGUCUCUAUGCAUGCUUGUAACAAUGCCUAAAAGACCAGGGAGAGGCUAUGCAGAGGGAUUGGGGAAUGGGGACUGCCAAUUUUCUACAUUGAUAAGUUUAGUGUUUCCCCUGGAAGGGAUAUGGCAGGGAUAUUCACAAAGUGCAGAAUACGUGAUUCAGUUGGAGAAAGGCAACACAUGAGGAAGAUGGUUUGCAUAAUAAAUUAUCUUAGGUUAAACUAAUGUUUUUUUCUGAUCUGGUGUUUUGUACCCUCAUAACCAUCUAGCUGUUGUAAUUCAUCAAGUACCCAUGUUAAAGUGGUUGUACCCUAUAGCAACCUAGCAGGGCUUUACAUUUUGUUCUGUGCAAAAGUUGGCAUGGAGUAAGAAACAGGGUUAUGUUUACAAUUUUCAAAUAAAUUAUUCCUUACCAAGGCAUUCCCUUCAGUUUUGUUGCCCACAUGGCACAUAGGGAACAGUUAGAAAUUGUAAGAAAUUUUAUACUGAACAUGAGGAAAUUGUAUUUCUCUUAAGUUUGUCUGAUGGGUAUAUUGCUCAAUCAAAGGGGCUGAUCAAAAAACCAAAAUAGCAGUCACACUUUGAUGCAUGAAUAUUACUACCUUCGUUUUUAAAUAUAUAAUAUUAUUGACUUGUAGGACAUGAUGCUUGACUGAUAAUUUUUUUAAAAAGCUAUGUAUAUUUGUGACUUGUUUCAUUACCAUUAAAGAUACUUCAAGCGCAACCUAUAUUUUUCCUGAAAAGUAUUUCAUUGCAAGAUUUGGGAGGAUUUCGUAGGUACUAAAUAGCAAAAAAGAAAAAAAAGCUAUGCUAUGUUAUGUUAUUCAAACAUAUAAAAGUGAAAGUAUAUUGAUUAUUUACAUGUGCGUCCUAUCUUUUGAUUAUAUGCCACUGUGAAUUUGAUUUUCGAAAGAAUGUAAUUUUAAUAUAGGUCACGACGUGUAUUGCACGUGCACAAUUUUAAAAAAAUAUUGCCUUAAAAAGUCAAUAUUGUUCUAUCUUUGUAUAUACAUUGCCAAUAUCAAUAGAAGAGAGAGGGAACCGAAUGGAUGGAGGGACCGAUAAGGGACGUGGCCCACGUAGGUCUUUCAAUUUUUUAAUAACAAAAAUAAAUCUAAUGGGUCCACCAUGUUUAAAGGUAAAUCAAUGGUUGUAUUACGUGGUAAUUUAGGAGCGUUUGUAAGAGUGCCACGUGACGGUUUAUGAGUAUUUAUAAGAUGUUUAAUGGACUUUUAUUAUAUAAGAGAUAUACGACUGGGCAAUUAAAGCCUCUUGCACUACUGCAGAAAACACAACAACAUUGCACGAGUUCACCCCAACCAUUGACGGAUCACGAUAGGUGUGGCCGUCGUUGCCGAGCUUGCCAUGGUUACGACACUACAGCUCUAACUUCACAAAACUCGGCCUUGACUCAACAGUAUCACAUCCCUGUAUAUGGCUGCCACCACCAAAGCUUGCUGCAUUUCAUCAUUGCUAAGUAAUCUACCGUCAAGGCGAGGUGCAAUGCCACGUAUACGAAACAACACAAUGGACCAUAUAAUAUAAUAAAGUUCAAACACGUUAUUUUUCAUAGUUUUACAUUAUAUAUAAUAUAUACAUGCUUUACAAAUAUUUGCGAAAAUAUAUAUUCCCCGUAGGUUGAGGCGUGCCACCGUACCGAUGGCGCAUGGCCGACCUAAGGGGUGGUGGCACAGAACCAACGCAUGUGACCGCGUCGCUCCCGCACGGCACCCGCAUGCCAUCGCGGCAAUGCAACAUGUAGGCAGUCGGUUCUGCAUGACCGAUCCGCGGAAUCAUGUUGGUCCAGCAUGACCAAUCCGCUGGACCGAGUGGUUUCGCGCGACUGAUUCGCGGGACCGCCCCUCCCGUCGGUUUCUUUCUUUUGAGUUGCACCGAUGGCACGGCCCAAACCCGCACGAAUGUAUAUUUCCGCCAAUAUUUUAAAAACAACCCGAAAUAUUAUGUGUAUUUUUCAUAAUUAGCUGGAAGCUCUGACUUCACUUGCUCCACCGUCCCAUAGCUUAUGUUCUUUAAAAAAAAAGAUAAUUGAUCCAUAGGCCAUAUCACUCUCGGCCCAAUGCCUCUCCUGCCAUAUUUGCUCUUCUCCUGAUCAUUCGCCUGCGUGUUGGGCUAAUUCGUUCUGGAAAUAUUCCUCCUGAGAAAGGGGUUAAUGACUACCUAUUGGCAUAUACGUACAACUUCUUUUUUCCAAAUGCGCAAACACCUUUUCUACGCACUAUGUUUUUGUUUUUGUGAGUGCAAACUUUUUUUUCCUGAAACAUAAAGGCUCAUCACCCUAUAAGUAAAUUUGGGUCAGUAUAUUUUGAAAUUUACGAAGUCACCACAAGUGCCUCAGUAUCGAUGGGUACAUCAUGUACCACUGAAAAAUAGUUAGCAAUAAAUACAAGCAUAUAUAUCAAAUUUGUGACUUUAAUUUGAGUGGGUAAGUUUCACCGGCAAUCUAACUAUUUUAGGGUGUGUUUGGUUCACGGUCAAGGUUGGAUAGGAUAUGGCGAUUCAUAUUUUACUCGAUAUGGCGAUCCAGUUUUUUGUUUGGUAGAGUGAAUAUGGCGAUCCAGUUUUUUGUUUGGUAGAGUGAAUAUGGCGAUUCAGUUUUUUGUUUGGUUGUAGGAAUGAAGAUGGAUUUGGUGAUCUUUUUUUUGGUUAAGAGGAGUAGGAUGGAUGAGUGGUUGCAAUCACCUCAUCAUUAGAGGUGGUGAGUAUACCCCCUUCAAAUUCACCAAACCCAAACAUUAUCAAUCUACUGCAAAAUAAAAAAUCUAAAGAGAAAUAAAAAAAUCACAAAGAAAUAAAAGGGAAAAAGGAGAAAACAGAAAAAAGGAAAAAAAAUCACAAAUCUUCUCGCCGCCUCGCUCCUCUCGUCAGCCGCCACCCGCCUCGACCGCCGCCUCGCUCCUCUUGCCGGCCGCCGCCCCGCUCCUCUCACUGGCCGCCGCCUCACCUUCUCCAGAUCCGGUUGCUUCUCUCGCCGCUCCGCCUCGUCGCUCGCCAACCGCCGCAACGCUCGUCUCCUUCCCCACCUCUCGCCGCCCCGCCUCGUCUCCUUCCCCACCAGCCGCCACCCCGUCUUCUUCCCCACCGGCCGCCGCGCCAUCUCCUUUCCCACCGGCCGCUGCCCCGUUUCUCCCAGAUCCAGCCAUCGUCAUCGUCUCCAUCCCCACCGGUCAUCGCCAUGGUGCACCGGCCGCUGCCGCUGUCGUGCACUUCCCGCUGCCGCCGCCGCCGUGUACCGGGCGCUGCCUCACUUGCGUCGUCGUCGAGGUCUCGUGGUGAGGGGUGACGCGACCCAUGUUGGUCGCUCGCCCCGCUCGCCCGGGCGCCCGGGCGGUUGCAUCCGGCCAAAUCGGCCGGAUCCCCCCGAUCCAGCAUCUAAGAGGAAUAUUCCUCUUCGGGCCACUCUAUCCCAUCCCCCGCCCACCAACCAAACAUCCACAAAAAAUGGGCCGCCAUGUCCUAUCCACCCAAAUCACUCCAUCCAAACACACCCUUACCUAUGCUCACUUCACCACCUAACUUAAAGGUGGAGGCACAUCGAUAGAUCCGCGAUAGUGUAUUAUAGCUAGCCAAUCUUGUAGAUUAAUAAAUAAUUUAUGCUUAGUAAGCUACACCUUGAUAAUUUAAAAAACAUAAUUAAAACAAAUAAUAUGAAAUAUGUGGCAUUGUUGGAUUGGAUGCACUAAAGAAUAAGUAAAAAAAAGGAAGAAAGGAGUACAACUUAGGGCCUGUUUAAAUCACUUGGCAAGCUUUUUCACCCUAUCACAUCGAAUGUUUGACACAUGCAUAAAGUAUUAAAUAAAAAAAACUAAUUAUAUAGAUUGCGUGUAAAUUCGAGACAAAUCUUUUAAGCCUAAUUGCUCCAUGACUUGACAAUGUGGUGCUACAAUAAGCAUUUGCUAAUGACGAAUUAAUUAGGCUUAAUAAAUUCGUCUCGCAGUUUACAAGCAGAAUCUGUAAUUUGUUUUAUUAUUAGAUAAUAUUUAAUACUUCAAAUGUAUGUCUGUAUAUUCAAUGUGACACGGUAAAAAUUUUCACUCUUAGAUCUAAACACAGCCCUAGUGUUUGUAGACUCCAUUACAUGUCCAAAACAUGCAUGUGUCUUCCAUGUGACCAACAAAGAUACAUGACACUUGGCAGAGUUAACAAGCAUGACGGGAUACGUCAUAUGUCGCAUCCUAACUUAAAAGGAUGACCAUGUUAGGUGACAAAGAUAGGAAAGGAUGAAUUAAUUAGUACUAGAAAAAUUUGUUAGAUGCCGUGCUGAUCGAGGAUACAGUACACAUGAUCGACUUGGACUGAUGAGCAAGCAGGUGCAUUUCUCUCGUGCGUCGUCUGUGCUUUGACACAGCGAACGACCAAGAGUUAAAAUGGAUUAAGUUAGACUGCAUAGUCUCAAUUAAUUCCAAACGCGCCUUUCAGUAUGAGAGAUAACCUUUUCUGCUUUCCCGGUAGCAUAUACAGGUUGCUAGUUAAAUUGAAUUUCACCAGACUUUUUAGUUCUGAAAAAGUAUAUGGCUGAUCGUGCCAUCUCCGCGAAGAGAAGAAUUUUACAAAAUGCAUGCCAUCGCGAUCAUCCUCAGUCUUUACUCAAAGGAAGUUGAGACAUGCUAUUCACGAAAAAUAUAUACUCAUUUAAUUUCGUUUCAAAAUAUACUAACCUAAAACUGAAUAAGACACAUCCUAUUAUAACGAAUUCGAAGAAAGACUUGCGUAGAUUCAUUGUACUAUAACAUGUCUUCAAAUCUAGGUUGUGAUAUUUUGGGAUAUAGGGAGGAGAUCAAUAUACAAUAAUUAUCAACGAGGUUAUAUGGUAAAAUAAGGGCAUGGAAGGGUUGAAAGUGCAUCUAGGCCCCUAAUGAUUUUGGUGAUUAAUUAUAAUGCGAUUAGAGAGGACUAACAUUUUUAUGUAAGCAAAUGUGAAGGUUGUUAUGUCCUCAAUGAGUUAGCGUAAUGCAUAUCCCGCCGAAUACGUUGAUGUGAUGUGAUGCGGCAAAUGAGCAAAUGGUAUGGUGUACGUUUUCGUUUUCUUGAGUUAUUAGGAAAGCCGCACUAUUAAGAGGGAUGAUGCAUUGACUUACGAGGAGUGAUCAAAGUGCUCAAAACCUUUUUUAAAAAAGUGUUUCUCCUCAGUUUGGUGUGUUCUGGAUUUUUUCGGAGUUUUCCGAAACUCAUUUUCGGACUUUCCGAAAACACAUAGAACCAGAUUUUCGCUUCUGGAAAUUUUCGAAUAUGUCCGAAAGGAUACAGAAGAGUGGCGCACGGUUCUGAUGAUUUUUGGAUAUGUCCGAAAAUUUUCGGAAAUAUCCGAAAAAUUUCGGGGUCUUCAUAUAUCACCCCGUGGACUUCCUUCUCUCUCCUUUCCACUUCUUUUCCCCACGGGUUGCCUCCCUCCUCCCUCCCCACCGGCGACUCCCCGGCGAUCUCCUCCUCUCCGGCGACCUCCCGCGACACCCCUCCUCUCCAUCCUCGAGGGAGCACGUUUGGGGCACUUUUUGGGCCCUACAUUGUUGAUCUUCACCAUGUUCUUCCCGUGUUCUUCGCGUUCUUGAGGUAUUUGUCCUACAAUCAAAUCCCUAGAUUCCUCAAGUUUUCUCUUGCGAUUUCCUUUGGUGGAGAUGUUCCCCUAGUGCCAUAGGCCCUGCAUAUUCAAUUUCACAAGUUUUUGUUGGCGGAUUUGUGCGGCAUCUGAGUUAUAGGGUUCGGCCGGAAUUUUUCGGACUUGUCCGAAAAUUUUUGGAUAUAUCCGAAAAUUCCUGGCCGACCCUUAUCACUUCGGAUUUGCAUGUUUCUUGCUCUCAAUCACUUGUUUCUUAUCUCUUUGGCUUCCAUACCUGAUUCCUUGUAUCUCUAUUGUUUGAAGGAUGCCUCUCCGCAAGCAAACCUCCCACAAGUCCAAGCGCCCGAGGGAUCGCUCUUCCACUCCAUCUUCUCAUGAUGAUUCAGACAGUGAUUGGUCCGGUGGAGAGGAUGCGGUUCCUCAGGUUGCGCGGGUGGCUCGGCGGUCUACUCAUGCUCAUGAUGGUGGUGGUGAUGGUGAGGGCUCUUCUCGUCAACCGCAAACGCCGCCGCACCAACCCAAUGUCCCCAUUGGGCCUCUCCGCAUUCAUACCCCCGAGAGGGAUCCGGCGGUGAUUCACCAAGUGUAUGAUUGGCGGCGCAAGUCUGAGGUUGUUGCUCGUCGUCGGGACGAGGAUCUGUAACAUCCUGGCCUAGGGUUUAAUAGGAUUAAUAGAAUACUCAUAUCAACAAGUUACAACUUCUUUUUCGGAAGCCAAUCUCCGAAGAACUCCAGGGUUAAGCGUGCUUGGCCUGGAGCAAUUUAGGAUGGGUGACCGACCGGGAAAUUCUUCUCAGGUGCACACGAGUGAGGACAAAGUGUGCAGAAAAGACAUGUGUUGGCUUGUGAGGGCAGUCUAUGACCUAUGAAAGCUAUCAGAUGUAAGCGGGCCCGGCCUGGGAGAGGCGGGACGUUACAAAACCCGCGUGGUCCCAGGUGGGACCCGCUUGUCGGCGACCCGGCCCACCGGCUCUCUCUCUCCCCUCCCCGCCCCCGCGCGCGCCUUGGGCCGCCUUCUUGGGCCGGCCGGCCCAUUAAGCUCGGCCGAGCCGCCCCAUUCUCUUGGGCCGCGCCCUAGCCGCCCGAGGGAAGUCUAAUUUCCCUCCCUCCUUCUUUUCUUUUCUUUUCUUUUUCAAAAAGGAUUUAAAUAAAUCCUUUUCCUUUAGACCAAAAAUCCAAUAAUCUUAGAAAUUCAAUAUCUUCCCAACCGUAAGUCCGUUUGACUCCGUACAACUUCCAAAAUUUCCUCAAAUCUCGAGAUCUAUCUGAUGGCACGCUUAGAGGUCAUUAAUAGGGCUUUAUUUUCGCCGUUUGUUGAGUUGUCCCGUUUCGCGUGUAGUUUCGGAGCCCGAAGACCCGCAGUGCGAGGAUUUCGAGGAUCAAGCUCAAGAUCUCGAGCAAGGCAAGCCACCUUUGAACAUCUUGAGCCUAUAUUUGAACUAAGUUAUAUUUCUUGCAAAAUAUUAUGCAUUGCUAGGAUUGCACUUAAUAUGUUUGCCCCAUCUACGAGGCAGAUCGGUGAGCAUACCUAACUUGUUGCAUUUGAUCCUUCCAUUGUUAAUUGUUAUAUCAUGUUUCCUUGUAACCACCUGGUCACGCCUCGAUAUUCGUGCACUCUGUGCGAGUAUCGACGGUCGCCUUCAAACUUAAAAUAUGAUAAACAUCUUGGGUAAAACUUGGUUUACAAAACGAUUGGAAAACCCGACGCCUGGGUCGGUGUCUUGUGAAAGAAAAUGAGUUUUAAAAAUAAAACUCGCGACACAAGGCCAUUCCUGGGCGGAAUGCUUGUGCGGUCGCAUUUAAGGACCGAUUCCUUCGGAAUUACAUCCGAGCAUAUAAUAGUGCAACCACAUGGGUGGAAUAGGACACUCCUGGCUGAGUAAUUAGCUAAUCAGGGGAGCCUUGAUGCCGAGAGACAAGUGGAUUCGCCGGGGUGGUGUCGGGGAGGACCCCUGGGCUUCCUAGCACAGUAUGGUCUGGGACCUAACCUGUUGUUGGUCUGGGACCCCUCUCGUCGGCAUAUGGUAAACCUGUGUCGGCUUUGGAAAUGCCUUGUCAUGAAAGCUUGGAGGUCUCCCGACGUGGCUGAUCCCCACGGGCUGGGUGAUCCGGGUUAGUAAUGUCGUGUGGGUAAAGUGUACCCCUUCUGCAGAGGUUAUUAAAACUGUUCGAAUAGCCGUGCUCACGGUCAUGGGCGGAUGUGAGGUGAUUCCUAGCGUAGUUUUGUUUGACUACUGCCUUGUGAAAUUUGCUGUUGUGGAAUGGGUUUGAUGUUUGGAAAAUCUGCGACUGAUGGGAUCAGCCAGGCCCGGGUGGCCGUUUGAAAGCUGUUGGCCGGGUGCCAAUCUUGAUCGAUUCAAAAUACUGAAACAUUGCACAUACUCCGACCGGACGAGACGCACUGUCUCAUCCGUGUCGUUUGAGAAGCACUCACUUAGUUGUUUCAGAAAAGAGUUUAAAUAAAAUCAAUUGCAAAAACAACAGCCUUUCUUUGAAGCCUGCAUUAAACACUUAUUUCCCAUGGCUUGCUGAGUACUCCCGUACUCACCCUUGCUCUAUAUAAAUAAUCCCCCCAGUUGUUGAAGAAGAUGAAGCGGAUCCCGCUGACGAGGAGUUCUUCUAGGAGCAAGCCGGCUACGAUGAGUUUUAGGGUUUCGGCCUAGUUCCCAAGUGCCUGUGAUGUUUGGUCCAAGUCCUGGCUUCCGUUCCCCUUUUGUAAUGCAGUUGUGAGCUCGGGAUCUGUCCGUAGCCCAACAUGACUGUACUCCUACUCUAUAAUAAAGAGACCUCUGGUGCUGUGAUAUUCUGUCUUCCUGUGAUACCAGCACUGUUUCCUGGGACUGGUAUCGAUUAACAGGUUAAUUUGGAGCGUCACGGGCUAGUUCCGGUCGGGACUAGUUCAGGGCGUGACAGGAUCCGCGCUCCCUUCGCCGCACCGCCACGGAUCCGCGGUUUUGGACUCUCUUUCAACAAGACUUUUAUGAGUCUGUAAUUAAGUCCAAAGCUCAUCCCACUGUUCCCAUGCAAUGGAUCAAUUGGGAGGAGUUGCAGGCACACAACGAUCCGGUGAUCAACUCUGUGAUUGCCAAUUGUGAUCUCAUGGGUAUCCGCUCCUUCAUGACAUUGCAGCAAAAUUGGUGCAACGAGAUCAUUGCUCAGUUUUAUGCCACCGUAUACUUUGAUCGCUAUCGUGCCAUGCACUGGAUGACUCAGGGGUCCUGGUACUCUGUUUCUUAUCAGCAGUUGGCUGAGAUCUGGGGCUUCCGUCUUCGUUCUUUGCUAAACCUUGAUGACCUUCAUAAUCUUCAAAUUCCUGCCAACACAGACUUGCUUCCCCGUUACACUCGAAAUGAUCCAAAUGUGGUGUUGGGCAAGGUCGACGGCCUCAAGCUAUACUUUGCCUAUUUGAACCGGAUGUUUCGCCGGUCUUUUGUGCCUAACGAUGGUGAUGCUAGCAGCAUGAACCAUCUCUCUAGGACCAUGCUUCUCCGGUUUGAUCCUCCUCCUCAUCGCUUCCAUGUCUAUCACUUUGUGUGGGAGGAGAUCCGCAUGGCUUCAAUUCAGUACAAGAAGGGGUUGGUCUAUGCCCCUCACAUUAUGCGGAUGAUCGAGACUGUGACUCAGCUCCAGUUUCGCCAUGAUGUGACUCAUUCUCAGCUUCACUUGCGCCUUCUUAAGGCCCCCCGCUCCUCAGCUACUCGGGACGUACCCUCCUCUUCUACUCAGCCGCCUCCUGCUCCUGAGCGCCCUGCCUCUGUGGCUCGUCGUGAGCCAUCUCCCUUAUUCCGCAUUUUGCGGAGUCUUUUUGGUCUUUGCUCCGCGGAGGCCAAAAAGAACCGCCGAUUGCGGAAUUCGGCGAAGAAGACGGCUCGUGAUGUCAAGUUCCUAAAGGCACGGUAUUAUGAGGACCACCACAUUGAUAUCCCUCCUUCUCCUCUGGGUUUCGAGGCCGAGCCCGAUGAGCCAGAGGAUGAAGAGAUUGAGGAUCCUUUUGCCGGGUUGCCUUCCGACUUCGACUUCUUUGGAUAUGGCCAUGGCUAUGGCUAACCUCCUCCACCACCUCUCGAGGACCCUCCUCAGGCGCCCUUCGCUUGAGUCGUCAGCUCAUUGUCCUCUCUUUUUGGUGUCUUGAUGCCAAAGGGGGAGAAUAUCUAUCAUGGCUUUAGUUUAUCUAUCUUGUCCUUAGCGUCGAGCACUGUUGGUUUUUAUCUGUAUGAGACUUUUGUGUUUUUUAUGUUAAGUUUAAAGCUUUGUAAGACUAUUGUUUAAUUAUGAAUGCUUGUGAUGUAAUGGAUCUUUUUAUCUUUUAAAGUGGUGCAAUGCCUUACCCUCUUUAUAUGGUGCUUGUGAUGAGAUGUAAUUAUUCCUUUGCAUGCGAUGUGUUGGAUGUAAUGAGCAUAUGUGAUAUAUUUGUUCUCUUGUGAGCUUCAAUGUGGAUGCAAUAAUUUAGGGGGAGCUCUCUACUUGCUUUUAUGCACACUCUUAGGGGGAGCUUCCACUAAAACUUUGUACCAAAAACCUUAAAUUAUAUUCAUUCUCUCUUGUGUUCUAAUCGUAUUAUCAUCAAUCACCAAAAAGGGGGAGAUUUAAAGUGCAUCUAGGCCCCUAAUGAUUUUGGUGAUUAAUUACAAUGCAAUUAGAGAGGACUAACAUUUUUAUGUAAGCAAAUGUGAAGGUUGUUAUGUCCUCAAUGAGUUAGCGUAAUGCAUAUCCCGCCGAAUACGUUGAUGUGAUGUGAUGCGGCAAAUGAGCAAAUGGUAUGUUGUACGUUUUCGUUUUCUUGAGUUAUUAGGAAAGCCGCACUAUUAAGAGGGAUGAUGCAUUGACUUACGAGGAGUGAUCAAAGUGCUGAAAAUCUUUUUUAAAAAAGUGUUUCUCCUCAGUUUGGUGUGUUCUGGAUUUUUUCGGAGUUUUCCAAAACUCAUUUUCGGACUUUCCGAAAACACACAGAACCAGAUUUUCGCUUCUGGAAAUUUUCGGAUAUGUCCGAAAGUGAUUUUCGGACUUUCCGAAAAAGACUGCGAAGGAAAAAGUGGUUCUGUAUAUUUUCGGACUUGUCCGAAACUGAUUUUCGGAUUUUUCGAAAAUCAUUAGUAGAGUCAAUUUCGCUUCUGUAUAUUUUUGGACUUGUCCGAAAGUUAUUUUCGGACUUUUCCGAGAACAUCCAGAACGAUGUUGUUGGUACUGGAAAUUUUCGGACUUGUCCGAAAAGUUUUCGGAAUGUCCGAAAAAUCCUUCGUUGACUUUGCUGUUGGUGCUGGGCUGGAAUUUUCGGACAUGUCCGAAAAUCUUUCGGAAUAUCUAAAAAUCUCAAUUAUUGUACAUAACGGGCAGAAUCUGGGCUGUGGCUAUAAAUAGCCCCCUCCCCUCACUUGUGAGGGCUGCUGGUUCCAUUCGAAUCAUUUGUGCCCUUGGCUUGCUCUCUCUCUAGCACUUUUGAGCCUUGCUUUCUUGUUUCCCCUCUCACCCGUGUUCGAUUUGGAUUUGGUGUGUGUGUGAGAGUUGUGGAUUCGAGUUUGUGUGAGUGCUUGUUGUUGACUUCGUGAAGAUUUGUGAGCACUUGCAUCAUCUACGGGAGUUAUUUGCUUCAUUUGUUACUCUUGGAGGUUGAGGACUCCUAGGCGGCUAGGUGUCGCUCCCGAGCCACCGAUCUACUUGUGGUUGGCCGGGAGAAGUUUGUGAAGGUCGGAUCUCACCUCCGAAAGGGAAGAGAUACCCUUAGUGGAAGGAGGAGUGCUUACUGCAACCUCUUGAGGAAAGGGUUAGCUAAGACCCGGCUCUUAGUGAGCUCCUCAAUGGAGAGUAGAAUCCCCUCAAGGAUUCGAACUUCGGGAACAACCUCGUGAGCUUCAUCUUUGGUGACUUUACUUCCUCCCUCUCCACUAGCUUUGCUUGUUUGAGCCGCUAUAGGUCUAGUUGCUGUUUGUGCUAGCAUAUUCUUGUUGUAGGCAACUAGAUCUAGGAUUUACUUUGCUGUUUGUGCUGACUCCGAAAAUUUUCGGAUAUAUCCGAAAAUUUCGGAAAUAUCCGAAAAUUACUGCUUCCGCUUUUAGUUGUUUUUUGAAUUAGCCUAUUCACCCCCCCUAGGCCUAAUUGACACUUGUACAUGUGUCGUCCCAUGUACAGGUAUGGCUAAGUCUGUGCCCAUUGCGGUGCGUUUGUACCAUCUUAGAUAUUCUUUUGUGCCAGGAAAUUGUUUUAAACCCUCGAGGGAAUAUUGUCUUAUUUUCUAAAGACCAUCCAAAUAGUUAUGAAAUUCUUUUGAAAAAAAAAUAACAACAGUAAUGCAAUGUAAAUAUCACUUCAGAAAAUUUUAGGUUCAAAUUCAACUCAUAUAUUGAGAUAUAAGAAAAAGGACAACUUUGGCAGAUCGAUAAUAGUGGUACUAUUUAUAUUCGAAUUUAUCUCUUCUUUUUCAGUGUUUAGGUUGAAUUUGAAAUUGAAUUUUGGUGGAGUUCUAGACGUCACUUACUCUACAAGUCUACAUUGUCAAGAAAAAAAAUAUUUUUUUAUAAUUAUUUGCAUUGAAUUUAUAAAAAAUAAAAGGUGUAUGAGGGAUAUUCACUCUCCAUUCCCUUUUAUGCCUUAAUUAUUUAUCGUACAUUUCUCUUUUUACACGAUUUGUAUAUAAAUAUGAUAUAGGUUGAAUUUAUCGAUCAUUUUCACCUCAUAUGUAUUUUAAAGUUGUGUUCGUGAAUAUACGAUAAGGGAUUCUGACGCUAAGGCCACGUGAUGAUGACGGAGUGACAAUUGGACGAAUGCAGCGACGGUGGUGGAAGGAGUGAAGGUCAUUACGAUGGUGGAGGGAUGAACAAUGAUGGAUCAAAGUAGUGUUUAGCAACGUUGCAAAAUUAUCUUAUCUGCUGGGACCACCAUUAAUGACACCUUGCUGCCGUGCCAUCGCAUUGGCUGCCUAAUUACGGUUGCUUAAUUUCAUCCAAAUCGGAUCCAUCGCUCACAUAGCUUGGGAUUUGGGAACUGGAGUUGGGGCCAACAUAUGGUCAUAUGCCCAUCCACAUACAGUUGCAAACAUAUGCUCUCUGAUUUCCUGCCUGGUACGCGUCUACAAGACAAGCUUGUGCGUGGGUACACAAAAACAAGAUGCUGCUUACCAUUGUACGGAACGGAGGUUUAUGACAGGUAAACGUCGCGUGAGUGAGAGGACAUGGAGCUAAUCCCUGACGUUAACACAUUUGAUUACUACUCCAUAUUACUUUUACUGUUUUAAAAUAUAAAGCUUUUAAGUUUUCUAAGGUAGCUUUAAAAUAAAGUUUUGAAUAUCAGUAUAUUUACUCCCUCCGUUUUAAAAUGUUUGACACCGUUGACUUUUUAGUAUGUGUUUGACCAUUCGUCUUAUUCAAAAAAUCUAAGUAAUUAUUUAUUCUUUUCAUAUUAUUUGAUUCAUUGUUAAAUAUACUUUCAUAUAUACAUCUAGUUUUACAUAUUUAACAAUUUUUUUUUGAAUAAGACGAACGGUAAAACAUGUGCUAAAAAGUCAACGGUGUCAAAUAUUUUAAAACGGAGGGAGUAUUUUACUAUGAACGUCUAUAAAUUUGGUAUGACAUGAAAAGUACAUUUAAAUAUGAAUGUAACAAUGUCACAUGGCGCUACACAUAUAAAUUAUUGAGUAAAGUACACAGCCAGUCCUUAAAAUUGGAGUAAUGUGUCAUUUAGAUCCAUGAUCUUAAAAAAUCAACAUUAGGGUCCACGAUCUUGUUUAAAUGACUCAUUGAGGUCCUGGAGCUCUGAUCGGGUUGACUGGCUUACGUGGCCAUCCAAAGUGGCAGAAUAUUCCCCCCCCAACCCCCCCCCCCCCCCCCCCCCCGCGCCCGGCGGCCGCCCACAUUUUGGCUUUCCCCGCUUCCAAUCCAACCCUUAUCCCCCAAAUCUUCUUCUUCUACCACGAGCCCAGCUGCCCCCCCCCCCCAAGUGGAAGCCCUCACCUACUCACAUAGCUAGGAGUACUCCGAGAGAGGGCGGCGACAACAACGCUGGCGCCACAGAUGACGCCGAGUCGGGGUUCGUUUCAAUUUCAACCAAAUUUCAACUUUUCCAUCACAUCGUUUCAAUUUCAACCAAAUUUCAACUUUCAACUUUUCCAUCACAUCGUUUCAAUUUCAACCAAAUUUCCAAUUUUGACGUGAACUAAACACAGCCAACUUUUCCAUCACAUCGUUUCAAUUUCAACCAAAUUUCCAAUUUUAACGUGAACUAAACACAGCCAAUUUUAAUAUUAAAUCACCCGUUCUACAGUACUUCUGACCGUCCUCUCUGCUACACGUACUGGCCUGCUGUAUUGAUUAUCUCCUCUGGAAUUUUAAGGAAUUUGAUUAUCUCAAUUUUCAAACUGAGGAAUUUUAAGGAAUUUUGUGAAACUAAUUUAAUUAUGUAGAAAUUCCUGUAUUGAUAUCCGACAAGAGCUGAGAGCACACAUAUAUAUUUAAUAUUAAAUCUAGGGAACAUGAUAUAUACUGGUAAAUAUUUGUUAUAGUAACCUAUAAAUGUUUGUUCACACCAGCUAAUAUAUCAUUUCAAUAAAGUAGGAACAUGUAUUAAUCUAUAAAAAAACCCCAAAAAUAGUGGUGAGUAGUGAAUGUGUGUCACCACCCAGUACCCACCAUCACUGCCAUGUGGGUCUUCCAAACAAUAAGGUACAUGGAAGUUUGCCUCUUCUCCAACCUCAAGCCAUCGAACAGAGAAAAUUUCUUUAGAAGCUGGGUAAAAAUGAUGACAAAUAAUAUUACCAAAAGAUUUUACAAUGAGAAUAAUGCCAAUAGACAAUAGAAUGUCACAGACACGGUAAUAAAAAUGACGGUAGGCACAUAAUAAAUAAUUUAAUUACACUAGCUAGCAGUGGCACAUCCGAAAAACCAACAUGAAAUAAAAGGAAAAUAAGAGAGGAAAAGAAAAGGCAAGCAGAAAGCUAGCUCAUCACUUUAUUCCAGAAACGGUACAGUGUAGUGACUCGCUAGCGCUCCUUCCUCGGGUGAAAUAAUGUCGUCGGUGCCUCAACCGUGCAGCCAGCAAAUGCUCGGUCUCCAGCGAUCGCCGUCACUGGUUUGUCGCUGGUGGCAUGUGCGGCGGCUUGUGCUUGUUCGGCGGUGCUAUAGGUUUCGGUCCAGGCUUAGGUUCAGGUUUCAGUUUAGGCUUUGGUUCUGGGUAUGGUUUAGGCUCUGGCUUUGGUUCGGGCUUAGGCUUUGGUUCAGGUUCAGGCAUCGGAUGUGGUUUUGGCUCCGGGUGUGGCUUGGGCUCUAGCUUUGGGUCAGGUUUAGGCUUUGGUUUUGGUCCUGGGUGUGGAAUGGGCUUCGGCUUCGGCACCGGUUUAGGUUCCGGUUUUGGCUUUGGAUAUGGUUUAGGCUCUGGUUUUGGUUCAGGCUUUGGCUCGGGCUUCGGUUCAGGCUCUGGCUUUGGCUCUGGUUUUGGUUCAGGUUUAAGCUUAGGCUCAGGCUCUGGGUGUGGCUUUGGCUCAGGCUUCGGGUGUAGCUUAGGCUCGGGUUUCGGCUCAGGCUUUGGUUCUGGGUGUGGUUUGGGCUCCGGCUUUGGUUCCGGUUUUGGUUCAGGGUGUGGCACUGGCUUUGGUUUGGGCUCCGGUUUCGGUUCUGGGUGUGGCUUAGGCUCUGGCUUCGGCUCGGGUUUGGGCCCCGGUUUUGGCUCUGGCUUUGGCUUUGGGUAUGGCUUUGGUUCUGGUUCUGGUUUUGGUUCAGGUUUAUGCUCAGGUUUUGGUUCUGGCUUUGGCUCCGGUUUGGGCUUUGGCUUCGGCUCUGGGUAUGGCUUUGGUUCUGGUUUUGGUUCAGGCUUAGGCUCAGGUUUAGGUUCUGGAUUAGGUUUUGGUUCUGGCUUUAGCUCCGGUUUCGUCUCUGGCUUCGGCUCUGGGUAUGGCUUUGGCUCCGGCUUAGGUUCUGGCUUUGGCUCCGGUUUUGAUUCAUGCUUAGGAUGAGGCUUUGGCUUUGGCUUCGGCUUCGGCUCCAGCUCUGGCGGCUUCUCGUACAUCGCACGGCCCUGCUUGCUCAUGAAGCGGGCGCCAUGGCCGAGUCCCUGGCCAGCUGCCGCCGCUUCAUCAACUAAAGCGCUCGCCACCGCCAAUGCCCCAAGCAGGAGCACGGCGGCAGUGAGGCAAGGAGAGCGCCUAGCCAUGGCUGGCAAGCUAAGCUCCUCCUCUUCGCUUAUCUUCUUCUCCCUCUCUCACUUCUGCUGUUGUACGUAACUGAACUGUGAGCUUGUGCCAGUGGAUGGAAGGAUUGCUGGGGUUUUAUAGCCCGGGAAAGCCAAACAAUGCAAGCAGGUGUGGUCACAUGUCUCCAUGGCACCCUGCUUUUGUGAUCUCUAGCUGCUUGCCAGAUCUCACCUAGUAUCAUGCCUGCCUCCCUUCCAAAUCUGACUAUUUUACUCUUCUUCACUUUUUACUAACUGCUAACCCUACUUUUUCCUAAUUAAUCAGCACCUGUUCUGAUUAAUCAAUCGGUUACUUGUUACUUUAAUGUAUGACUAGACAAUUAGUCUUUUGUUGGAACACAUGAAUUUUAUACAGCUUUGGUUAGAAACUGAAGUAGUAGUAAUUGGUACGAAAAGCAAGUAAAAUUGUUUGAGUCAUAUUCAGCAGCGGAGCCCGCACGGCAAACAAACAGGGGAAAUGGAACAAGUGCGUAAAAUAGCUUAGGCUAGGUGCAGCAGAAGCUAGCAUUGCAGGAGCAGGAGAUGGACGGACGGAUCGAUCGUCAAUGGACAUCGCCGGUGGUGGGUCGCCGGAAGGACAGCAGCCAGAAACAUUAACGUGGGUGAAAGUGUCCGGCCCUCGCGGCCAUUGGGCCUGUUCUGCGGCUGCGUCGUAGCCGACACCAACAGUGCCGUGCGCACACGACGCAGCCGUAGCCAUGCCGAACAGGCCCAUAUUAUCUUGAGAAUUGCAUCGAACUGAACACAUUAGAUUUUUUAUACACUAUAUUAACAUCGACACUGAGUAAUUUAAAUGAUAAAUAUGAUCAAUUACGGACCGAUCCAGCGUUGUUUUUGAAAAGAUGCUACCGUCCGUUUUCAGCUCUAAGACUACCCGCCAGACAGAAUCUCCCACGGCUUCUCCUCUCAAGAAAAAGAGUAUUGGUCCACAGGCCAUACCCACUCUCGGCCCAAUGUCUCUCCUUUCUCUUCUCCUCCAUGUUGGGCUUACGCGGCUGCGUGAAUGUUUGCAGGCCAUGCAUGCAAAUCAGCCGACAAAUAAAUAAAUUCAGCAUGUCAUUGGUGGUACGCUAUCUUUUCUUGAAAUAUUCCUCUUUAGGCCUCGUUUAACCCCAUAAAAAAUGAUUGAAGUAGAUUUAAGGGAUUCUACACCAUAACAGGUACGGUGCACAAUUAACCCUUUCCAAAUCUCCCUCAAUCGUCCUGAGUGGGGCACGUAGGCGUUCAAAUAAACACGUCCACACACUCACCCAUAUAUGAUAUAUAUGAACGUGUACACACCUUAUUUGCUAUAAGCACCUUUGAAAACUAGAUCAACAUAUCUUGAUAUUUAUAAAACAACCGUAAGCACGUUGUUGGUGAUGGACGCCGUCUAUUACUGAAAAAAUAAUUAGUCAUAAAUAUGUGUAACUGUGUCAAGUCUAUGACUUAAAUUUUUAGUAGACAUGUUACACCACCAUUAACCUAACCAGUUGAGUUAUUCUCAUUUCGCUGCCUAACUUAAAAGAUGGAGCCGCGCGUUGAUAAAUCCACGAUAGUACGCUAUAGAUAGCCACUCUAGUAUAUUUAUUAAUAAAUUAUGCAUGAAGUAAGCUACCCCUAAUAAUUUAAAAGAGAUAUAUAAUUAAAAUAAAUUGAGAUGAAAUAUGUGGCUUUGUUGGGUUGGAUGCACCAAAAAAUAAGUAAGAAAAAGGAAGAAAGGAGUACAACCUAGUGUUGGUAGACUCCAUUACGCGUCCAAAGCAUGCAUGUGUCUGCCAUGUUAUCAACAAAGACACACAUGACACUUGGCAGAGUUAACACGGCAUGAUGGGAUAUGUCACAUAUGGCAUCCGAUUCCAGAAGAGAAAAAAAAGAUGGUAGUGUUAGGUGACAAAGAUGGGGAAAGAACGAAUUAAUAAUUAGGAAAAACUGUAGAUGCCUUGCAGAUCGAGGAUACAGUACACAUGAUCAUCGACUUGGACUGAUGAGCAGCAGCAGCUGGUGUGCAUUUCUCUCGUGCCUCUCGUCUGUGUUUGAGAGCGAGCGACCAACAGUUAAAAAUGGAUUAAGUUAGACUGUACUGUCUCAAUUAAUUCAAAACGCGCGUUUGAUCAGUAUGGGAGAACCUUUAUCUGCUUUCCCGGUAGUAUAUAUAGCUAGGUUGCUAGUUAAAGUGAAUUUCACCAGACUUUUCUUUUUAGAUAAUAUUUCACCUGACUUUUUAGUUCUGAAAAGGUAUAUGGCUGAUCGUGCCAUCUCAGCGAAGAGAAGAAUUUUGGAAAAUGCAUAUGCCAUCGCGAUCAUCCUCAAUCUUUACUAUCAUACCCUUAUUCCGCGCUUUUCCUCGAAGGAAGUUGAGAUAUAUUAUUCACGAAAAAUAUAUACUCCUUUCAUCCUAAAAUAUAGUAACACUCAUUCAUACGUGAAUGGCAAACCUGAAGUAUUGACACCGUUGUUUGUGUGUUCCUAACCAGGAAAGUGUGGAGCUGACUUGAAGAGGACGGCACGGUAGAGGGUAGAGCCUUCUUAAUGAUGCGCCCUAUGACCAUAGUAUAUGAGAAGGCGACCGACAUAAUUAUAAUAUGUGGUAAGGAAUAAAUAGAGGACGGCAUCACAUGAACGAGUAAUAAACUAGGAAAUAACCAAGGUAGAGACGGAAGCACCCAUUGGAAGGGUGAGAGGUGAGUGGCCAAGCUAUGAGCUCAUGACACCCCAUACCUAGAGACCGGGUCUAUCAUAUUAAUCAACAGCCAACCAUUAACUCAUCGAAUCAAUCAAGUAUUUUCACUACUACGGGAAACUAAACCGGUCGGUUGAGAACCUUGCAUAGGUGCCGGUUUUCAUAACUGGUACAUAGUAGACGACACAGACGAGAGAAAUCAAAGGUGUCAGUUUUGAAAAUGGCACCUUUGAGGUCCCAAGAAUAAAAAACAAAAGAAACUCGAUGCAUCGGCUCAAAUCCCAAUCACCCAUAAGAUUUCCAUCUAAGAACAAAAUCACAGAAUUAAGAACAAAAUCAACAUUCAUGAACAAACAUCUAAGAACACAAUCACAGUAUCAAGAACAAAAUGAGCGUCCAUGAACACACACAAAGAAGAUACCAUCGUUGCUGUUGUUGUCGGGCGGGCCGCCCCUGUGCCGCUCUUCCUCCUUGUCAUGGUGGCCAGAUCCAGCUGUCGUUGAGCUCUAGGCGGCUGGAUCUGGCGGUCUCUACCUCCAAGCGAGAGAAACCACCGCCAUCCCAGCGACGGUGAGGGGAGGAGGAGUUGCAGCUCCGAAGAGGCGAGGAGAGGGGAGGAGAGGGAAGCACCAGAGCCAGAGGGGUGGCGCCCCAUAGGAGGCUAGAUGGCCGGCUGCUGAAGAGGGAGGUGAAUAGAGCGGGCAAGAGAGAGGGAGGUGAAGGGCGAGAGAGUGGAUAAGGACAUGCUCCCCCUCCCUUUGCACUAAAAAACUGGUACCAAUAGUAUUGGUGUCGACUUUUCUCUAGAACCCACACCUAUAGUUGCUUAAAAGUGUCGACUCUAUAUUUUUUUUUGGUUCCAUGAAGGUGGGAAAAGCGUCAAUUUAUGCUAGUUUUAAAUUGGGAAGAAAGUUUGAAAUACACCCUUGAUUAUUGGGUGAGUACAAAUUAACCCCCCUAAACUUGAAAAUCAGACAUCCUUGACCCUCAACUAUCAAUACCAGAUGAAUUAUCCCCUAACUCAAUUCGGCGUGAUUUUGGUUUCACGUUGUUGUCCCAUCAGCAAAUCUUUUUUUUAAAUCAGUGGGGCCCACAUAUCAAUCUCUCACCCUCUCUCUAUCCCUCACCUAUCUAUCUCUCUAUACUCUAUCUCUCUGUCUCUCUCUUUCAAAUAUCCUCUCUCUCUUCUCCCUCCCUCACCUUCAUCUCUCUUUAUCAAGGACAGCGGCGGGCGGAGCUCAGGACGGCGGACAGGACUGGCGGAAGGCGGAGCUUGGGACAAGCAGCGGCACCUCUAGCUCUCCGUCACCGAGAGGCAGCGGCAGAGGCGGAGCUCGGGACGACGGAGGGGACGGGCGGAAGGCAGAGCUUGGGACAAGCGGUGGCACCUCUAUCUAUCCAUCAUUGAGAAGCAGUGGCGGAGGGGGAGCACGGGAACAGUGGCGGGCGGAGCUCGGGGCGAGAAGAGCUCGAGACGGCGGAGGGGACGGGUGGCAGGUGAAGCUUGGGACAAGCGGCGGCACCCCCCCCAUCUCUGUCACCGAGAGGCAGCAGCGGAGGCGGAGCUCGAGACUGCCGAGGAUGGUGAGCGGCAGAGGCGGCCAUCUUUCUUUUCCCUCCCCUUCUAUCAAUUGGUUUGGACGACGAGAAACGGAGUUGGCGCUGCAUAGUGGGGCAUGUCACGCCCUGAAGUUUCCCACUUUUCUUGCUUUAAAAUUUUGUUAAAUAAAUCGCCCGAAGAAAUUGUUUAAAUUAACCUAGAGCUAAUUCCUUAAUUAAUGAAUGCAAUUAAUAAUUGGAAUUGGCAUUGUGGGAUUUUUCUUGGGUCCCACAUGUCGUAAUAUAUUAACAGGUUUUUUAGUAGAAUUCUUAGAGCCCUAUAAAUAAUUUUAACCAUUUAAAAUUCAUAAACCGCAAUAAAGUAUGACAGGAAAAUCCUUUUUUUUCUUUUCCUCCUUUUUCCCUCUUGUUGGGCCAUCGGCCCAACCUCUCCCCGCGCCGCCCUCCUUGCUGGGCCGGCCUAAGCCUCCCCCUCCUCUCUAGGACACCGACAGGUGGGGCCCACCUGUCGGUCGUCCCUAACCUCCCACCGCCCACGCCUCGGCAGCAAUCGCCGCUGCCGUCCACGCUGCUGCUCCGCGCCCCGCGCUCACGCCCACGUCGCCGCCCACCUCUUCCACCUCUCCCGCUCUCGCAUGCGCCCGAAAAUGGAUGGGAUUCGAUUUCGAAUCCCACCCCCCUCUCUCUUUCCUCCCCCACGUUACCGGCCAAAUAGGGGGCCACCCCGGCUGUUUCCGCCCCUCCCGCGCCCAUCAAAUCACUCCCCCAAGCCUCCUCUCCCGUUUCUCUCACUCGCCACGCCCUCCCAUGCUUCUUACACCGUCGCGCCGUCACACCAAGCUCCGCCGCCCGCCAACGCACUCCGGCCACGCGUCGCCGCUGCUAGCGCCAUCGCCACACCGCGCAACCACCGCCACCAGCUUUGCCAUCGCGCGAGCCACCUCGGCCGCCACUCGGUUGCCGCAAAUCGCCCCGGAGCUCCGAUUCCCUCGCGCCGCCGGUGAGCUCGCCAUUGUCUCCAUCUCCGAUUGUUUCGUCUCGCCGUGCCGCGGCUCCUCCCUUCACCCUAACCCCUUCACCGCCUUUUCCUAGGUCGCACCGCUCCCGUGCGCCGUUUUCCAAAGCGCCGCCGCCGCUCAUCCCCUCCGCUCACCACUAUCACUCGCCGUCAUCUCUCCGCACACCGGCCACCCCACGGUGAGGAAUCCCCUCUCCUCCUUCUUUUCCUCUCUCCCAUGAGCGCCGCCGCUCCUCCACGCGUGCGUCGUCGUCUUCGGCCGCCGCCGCCACCUUUUCGCGCCGUCCGCCGCCGCCUCCCGCUCCGCCGGUCGCCACCGUCAGUGGCUGUGCACCGCCACCGCUCCCCAUGGCCAGCCGGCCAGUUUUGAGGCCGAGCAGAACCAGACAGCCGCCGCCGUGCCGUCCGAUCGGCCUCGGGGCCGAUCUGGACCGUCGUUCCCGUGGACCGGCGGUGGCCACCCGCAUGGUCCUAGUCCACGGUAGACCAGCGCCCUUUGAGCCGCUGACAUGCGGGGCCCGCUUGCCGGCGCCGGACCCCCUCGCUGACGUCAGCCCUGGGUUUAUUGUGCAAUAAAAUUAAUUAAGGAUUUUUCUUUAUUAGUAAAAACACAGAUUAUCUUCUAAAAUUCAUAAGUAAUUCAUCCGAGCUCCGUUUAAGUCCAUUCAAGUCUCAGUAAAUUCAUAAAAAUCCCUAGAAUUCAUUAAAAAUGGUUUUGUUUCCUGUUUCAGUAGUCUUAUAGCAUGUUUUGCUAGUGUGCUUUGUUUGUCGCAUAGGUUUCGGUCGUUUCGUCGAUCCACGGUUCCACGAAGACGUUGCUGUGGUCUCAUCAGUGCGAGGGCAAGGCAAGUCAUGCAUUACAAUUGAUCAUAUUGUACCCAAUUUACAAAUAUCCUGCAUUUCUAUUAAAUGUUGCAUUCUUUUACAAUAUCAUGUGGGAUGGGUCCUAUUACUCAGCCAUUUUUUGUUUACACUAUGCCAUUGAUAACUUGGGUAUCAAAAUGACUAGAUGUUGGUUUAGGAAAUGCUUAGCAUUGCUUAGUUUAACUAGUGCACAAAUGGGGAUCACAUUAUUACAUAGACUUUGACUAUUAGCAUAGCUUUGGAUUGGUUCCACCGUAAUGUUGUUAGUUAAUUAAAAUACACUGAAUGGUGGGCUAUGGGUGCGUGGUUUUGCUGGUCGCACCCAUGGCAAUUAAGGACCGGUUCACGGGAAACCCUGGAAGACUUGCCAUGCUUACCACAAGUGGGAAUGGGUAACUGCUUGACUUGUAGUAUAGCUCGACCAUUUCCUAGGCACCGGUGACAAGGGUGGGCGUGAUGGAGUUGGGUCAGCUGGGGUGUCCGGUUGUCCAGCUGCUGGAUUCACCGCGGCGCAUGAGGGGACUGCCCACUGCCUGUUGAGGGUUGGGGGUGAAACCUUAGCGUGGUGUGGAUGGUUAGGGGAGGGUUAUGCGAAGGGUCUUGUCACGAUUUCCCCCUUUGCACUAUCAUGGUGAUACUUCGGGGCAUGGCGACAUGUGUGGAAUCGUGUCUUGUGGGUACAGUUGUACACCUCUGGCCAGAGUAAAACUAUUCGAAUAGCCGUGCCCGUGGUUAUGGGCGAUCAACCAGAUUCACCGUGGUUAGUCUUACCCCGAGUUUAGCUUAGUGAACUGGUGUAGUUCAGGUGGUUGGUUGGGCAUGUCGCAACGUGGUGUAGCGUUGGACAGUGAUUGGUUAAUAUGGACUAAUUACUGCAAUUGUUUUACUGCUUUCAACUACUGUUUUUAAAUGCCUGCUUUAUGAAAAUGAACCUUUAGCCUCCUUUGGAUAUAUCCUGCAUCAUACCUCCUCUUCCAGUAUGACUUGCUGAGUACAGUGGGUAGUACUCAGUCUUGCUCUCUUUUCCCACACACCAGAGCGGAAGUUCUUCCCAGUUGGAGAUGUCUCAGAAAGGUUGGUUUCAUUGCUGCCGUUAAGGAUGCCUGUGGAGUGGAGUCGCCCGCUACAGAAGUCAAGUUUUCAAGCUUAGCUCGUUUUAUCUUUUCCGCUGCAUUUGUAAUCUCUUGUAUUUUUGUAAUCCUGGAUAGAGGUUUUAAUACAUAUUCAGCUUAGAAAUUCUGAUUCGUGAAUUUCUGGGCGUGACAGGGCAUCGAGCGGCGGAGGCGGCUCCUCCUCGGCCUCUGCCGGCACACGCCUCCUCCACGACCACCUCGUGAGCUUGCUGCCACCGUCUCCUACACUCGGGGAUGCUCACAGCCAGCGGCGCACGGCUCGUCCUCGGCUUCCGUCGGCGCAUGGGGCUCCUCCUCCGGUCCGUGGCGUACAACUCAUCUGUGGCAUCUGAGAGGAGAGCGGCGAGCGGCGGAGAGAGAGAGAGGUGAGAGAGGAUAAAGAUAGAGAGAAGAGAGAUAUGACAUUUGGGCCCAUCGUUUUUUUAAUAAAAGAAUUGCUAACUGGACAACCACGUAGGACCAUAACCGCUUGCAAAGUUGCUCAGCUUGGUACUUCAUCUCAUAUUGACAGUUGAGGGUAAAAGAUAUCUGGUUCUCGGGUUUACGGGGAUAAUUCGUACUCACCCAAUAGUUUAGGGGUGCAAUUCGGAUUUUUCCCAACCGUAUCUAUGAGUCGUCUUCUAUUAAGGAUUUUGUAGCAGUGUUUAGGCAUGAGGCAUCUUAUUGUCUUGUCUUCGUGACUAGGCUCGUUGUCUUAGGUACUCAUCGGUUGCCCAUAUUCCAUAAAAAUCCAAAACAGCUUAUUAGCCAAUAAAAUUAAGUUAUUGAUAAAACUUUUAUAUAUGUAUUCUUAACGAAUUAAAAGCUAAUGCUGAAAAAACUAACUUGAAAAUAUUUUAAAAUCAACUCCAAAAUUAAAUUUAAGAAUUCAAAAUUUAACUUCGUUUUGACUUAUUAGGGUAACCAACGGGCUCUUACGUUUAUUCGACAAUUCAUUUUUGUCGUUAACUCACUCAACGCACGUGGAUGCACCACGACACUAAUUAACUAUAAUUAGUUAAUUAGCCAACAUGCAUGCGUCGUGACAUGAGCAGGCUCGGCUAAGUCUUUGCCCAGAGUGGUGUGAUGGUAUAAUCUUGGAUAUUUUUUUUACCAAGCCGUUUUAAACCCUCGAGAAUAUAUCUCCUCGUUUUUCUUAAAAAGUAUUUAAAUAUUUAUAGAAAAUUUUUGAAACAAAUUGAUAACGGUGGUGGAAGGACUGAGGGUCGUUAUGAUAGUGGAUAUGGAUGGGCAGAAAAAAAAAACCGAACCGAAAUAAUCAUAUCGAACUAACCGAGACCAAAAAAUUUGGUCUGCAUUUUCACUAACCGAAUUUAGAUCGGUUAAUUCUGUCUUUGGCGUCGGUUAACCAAAUUGAUCGAAAUAUAUCAUUGGCCAAAUAAUACAGAUGACAUCUCAGCCCACUAAGCCCAAUACCACCUCAUCCGGAGGCAACCAACUCCCUGCUGCACCACCACAAGAUCUUUUCAUCCCCAAUCCCCACCUUAUGCGCAUCUCCGAAGACUGCAAAUUCCCCCACCGUGCGGUGCUGCCAUUGACGACCUGUGACUGCGAUGUGCUGCCCCUGCUGCCGCCGCAUCUCGCCUCUCACCCCAAAACCAACAACCCCUGCCACCGCCGCCACAUCUCGGCGCCCUCUGAUGCAUGCCGGCCAGCCACACCUCGUGGAGGCCGUGCGCGGGAGCUAGAGACCUCGCCGACAUCGGCCAUGAGCAAAGAGAUGGGAGCCGCAGUAACAACAACGGCAGGAGGCGAUGGGAUGGAUGGGAUCUUGGUCCCUGGAGCCAUCUAGAACAAUUGAUGGCAGAGAUCGAUGGGGAGUAUCGAUUUGCUUCUUUUUUUUUCUUUUUCUUCAGAAUCCCAUCGAUCUGCUUUUUUUUUCUCAGAAUCGUGCUCGAUUUGCUAGUGGCAUCAAAUAGUAGUGCAUCAUCUGUGUGUUUCCUUUAAUUCAUUGAUCAUGUACAGAUUACUUGCCAUUCUUUUUUGUUGUUCGAACUUUUGUAACGGUUAGUUCGGUCUAUGACCGAGACCGAACCGAACUAACCAAAGACCGAAGUGCUCGGUCGUUAAAGACCGAAUUUUCAAAAAGACCGAGGAACCGAACCGAAUCUCUCGGUUAGACCGUGUUGUCGAAACGACAACUAUAUACGUCGAAGGAUGUGGUUACUCAACAGUGGUUGGGAAAAUGAAGUGUACUAAAUUUUGAAUUUUCCUUGGGAUCCCCCCAUUAGAUAGCCCUAGGGGACUAUUUAUAGCCCCAUUACAGGUCCUUACUACCAGGGUUUAGGUUGUACAGGAAAAUUUACAUGAUUACCCUUACAAAAGGGGCAUUUACAGGGGUACAUAAUGUUAUAGGGGCUCAUGGGCCCCUGAUGGGCCGUCUGGCGAUCGCCGGCCUGAUGGGCUGGAAAGGCUUCCUCAGCCCUCGCGGGGGCGAACUUGUCAAGGCGAAGUCAUCCUCCUUCGGCAGACAGUCUUCGCCUUGCACCCUUCGCCUGAGACGCCUCUGGCCUGGCGCUACUCUUCGCCUUGCACCGCUCUUGCUCCAUAGCCUUCGCCAUGGGUUUCGGCAGGUUUGGUCGAAGAGCCUCAUGCCAUCCGCCAACAAGCCCCUCACGGGCAAGGGUGAGACUGGAGCUUCGGCCGAGACCGUGCAAACCAUGUGGUAUGGUAUGCGGCGCCCCCUUUCGACCGAUGCUCCUGCCGAAACCUACAUUAUUCCUGCGAAUGAAGUUUGUUAUUUGUGCGGCUGGUAUUAUUUUGCCGCGCUUCGCCUCGUGCGAUUGAUGGUUAUAUAUAUUCUUUUUUCCUGGGCCGAACGGAAUAGUAUUGGGCCUUCCUAUCUUUAGGCUUUUUACUGUGCCGCUCGGUUGAUGGGAAUUUACCGUUUCGCCUACCCUUGCGACACGUGGCGCUUUAUUACUGGUGGGUAGGCGAACGGUCGCCUGGGCGGGCUAUAUAUUCCUGCUGCUCUUUCCUUUUCACCGCCACACUUGCCAUUUUACCGCGCGCGCUCUCUUUCUCCGUCUCUUCCCUUCACAGCAUCUUUCGACCCCUCAGGCGUUUUGCCGAAACUCUUUUUUCGCCACCGAAAACGCACCGUUCGCCAUGGCCCCACGUACGCCAAACCCUACUUCGGCGAAAGGGCCAGAUCCCGGCCGAGUCGAUGACGACAGCACUGCCUUUCUGGGGGUCUCUCUUGUGGACGACGUCGAGCUGGCGAAGCUGGUGAGCUCCGGAGCGUUGGUUAAGGGGCAGGCUUUUGCUCCAGGGAAAACCGUGGUGCCGAAACCUGUCGACAAUCGGACGGUGGUGUUCGCCAUAUUUUUUGAGGCAGGGCUACGGUUUCCCUGCAACGUGUUGUUGCCAGAGAUCCUUCGCCUCUUCUAGGUGGAACUUCCGCAGCUGAGCCCGUCGGCGCUUGUUCGGAUCGCCAUCUUUGACUGGGUGUGCCGGACUUCCAGGUUUGAGCCCAACGCUGAGCUCUUUGGCGCCAUAUUUUUCGCCACCGUGAACUCGAAGACGGUGAUUACCCCGGCUGGAACGAAAAAAACAGUGUUCGGGAGCGUGAACUUCAACGUUCGCCCCGAGCGGUCCGAUCUCUGGCCGGUGAACGCUGCCAUGUCGAAGUGGGACCGCCAUUGGAUGGCAAGGUGGUUCUACCACACCAUCCCCUUCGAGGCUAGUUCUGAAUCAGCGAAAGCCCUUCGAUGCCGGCGCAGGGCGAUUGCGCCGAACCGGAGACCCAAGAUCGCUGUGGACGGCGCCAUGGAGGCGCGGUUUGUUCUACUGCGGAAGGUUUGCUCCCGCCUUAGCUGCCGUGACUUGGUGGAGGAAUUUUGUAUGCUUCGUAUUUUUCCCCUCUCCCAGUCAUGGCAAGUCGCGGUUGAACAAGGCGAAGAGGUCGACGGUUUGCCGAACCUGAUACUUCCUGAGGGGGCGAACGGUAAGACUGUUCUUUUGCUAUAUAUUGUUGUGCUUUGUUAUUUCGCCUUAUUUGACUUUUGACAUAGCUUCACAUUCUACUUUUACAGUGUUGACCCUCGACCAGGCCGAAGCCGAAGCCCGCAGGAUGAUCGGCGAUGUUUCGGUCGUCGAGUAUAGUCAACUGUUAACGCGUCAAGCGGCUGGGCGGGCGAACCGGGUUUACAAUGGCGAACUGCCUCCCCGGGCGAAUCCCCAAAAGGCCGACGACGAGGCAGGGCCUUCGCGAAAGCGGAUGCGUGGACAAGUGAAGCUUGCCCCCAAGAAGCGAAGGGUUCCUGCUUCGUCUGACUCCGACGCCGACGACGAGGAUGAUGCCGAAGAACGUGACGGGGAGGAGGAAGGAGAGGAAGAGGAGGAGGUGGAGGCUGUGGCUGAUAAGGCCGCGGGUGAGGCGGUCGAAGACCGCGCCGACACCCCCGGGUACACUCCUACCCCAAGUCCUGGUCACAACGAAACCAGGGUGGAGUCGAACAGCUCCCCCCUUUGUCGGAAGGAUUUGGAAGGGGUGAAGGCCCUAGUUGCGUUCUCUUCGGGCGCGGCGGCGAAGGGAGGUCCUGUCAAAAAGGUGGCUAAAAAGAAAGGGCUCGUCGAUGUCACUCGCGUUUUUAGCGAUGACGAGUCCUCCGACGGGACUCCGACUUCGCCCGCUGGUCGCAGCGUGGAUCUUUCAGCCGCCCCCAUUCCUCCACUUGGCGCCGCUGGAGUGGACGGUAGUACCGCCGCUUAGGCUUCGGCUUCUGCGGAAAGGAUUGUGAUGGCCGCGGCGAAAGUAUUCGGCAGUCCUCCGCAUCAGCCGGUUGACUCGCCGCUGAUGGAGGCGAAGGGAAAGAGAGCGGUCGCUGAGACAUCCACUUCGGAAUAUUCGCUCCCAGUACCCCGCUUCGCCCUUGGCGACUUCGAGACGCGAGCGGACCUCCUUCCUUUUGUGGAGGGGGUAAGCAAUCUUGUACUGCCCGCCAGCGCCCUGAGCUUGUUCACCGAACUGAAUGAGUUCGACGAGGGGUGCUCUGCUAUAAAAAGCCUAGCUGUUCGGGUACGUUUCCCCCCCGAUUUUAUCUUUACUCUUCCUCUAUCUUGUUUUUACAAUUGACACUUGUUCUCUUCGCCGCUCGUAUUCUGCGCCCAGAUCCUCGCGGCUCACUGCUCAACGGAGCGAACCGUGCGAGCUCGACUUGAUGGGUUCAAAAGCCAUCUUCGGGCCAAGGAUGACGAACUAGGCCGCAAAAAUUUAGAGAUGGAGGCCCUUGCAAACACCCUUAAGGAGGCGAAGGCCGAAAACAAGCGGCUCCAAUCGAAACUAGAGAAAGGGAAGGAAGCUAGGGCCGAAGUCGAUCGCUUAAAGGCCGAACUAGAGAAAGAGAAGGCCCACACCGCCGUGCUCAUAGAUUAUUAUAACCUCACCGAGCCGAAGAUGGAGGCUCUUCGGCAGGAGGUUCGCAAGGCCAAAGCAAGCGCUGUAGAGGAGUCGCGGCGGUUUUCGCAGGAAAUGGUGAAAACCACCGAGUCCGCGCGGACAGCGUGCCAAACGCUUCGCCUUGCCCUUACUGAUAUGGGCGCGAAGGUGCGGGGUGUCCCCUCCGAAGAUGCCUCAGCCUUCGACUUCUCCGAAUGGACCUAACAGGCUGGUGGUUCGGUUUCAGACUACGCCACCGCAUACGGCGAUUGCUGUGCACGCGUGUCAGCGGCCUUUACCAUGGGCCUCCUGCAGCAGUUCGGCUACGAGCACAUCGCCGAGUUCCCCAAGUACGCGAAGGGGGAUUGGGAAAUCAGUGGGCAAGACAUUUCACCUGCACUUCGUGCGUGGCGAAAACAAUUUUGGCAGAAGGACGGCCGCUCCGCCGCUAAGGCGCGCCUUUUGGAGCAGCUGGCGAAAGCGGAGGCGGCGGACAUUUGUGAAGAGGAGGGCGCGGCGGCCGGAGGGGGUGGAGGCGAUGCCCAGGAUCACCCAGAGGUGUGAGGCCCUCCGCCCUUCUCUUAGAUUUUCAUAGUUUUCUUUUGGUGUUCGCUAGAUGUGGCGAACCAUUGUAUAUUCGGCAAACUGCCGCUAAACCUUAAAAAAGGCUUUUUUGCAUACUUGGACUGUAUGAUAAUUUUAACCACUUUUUAAUGAUCAAAGUCUUUGGCAUAUUAUUAUUUCGCUCAUUUUGCAUUAUGCCAAACCUUCCCCUUCUUUCGCCUAUUCUUACCAUGCAAGAUGUGUUUUGCCUUUUCUACACUGUCUACCAGGGGGUCUGCCGAAAAUCAUGCAUUCGACCCCCUUCUGGGAGCUGGAGAAGUCAAAACGAGAAAUUUGUGGCAUUAAAGGGUUUGCCGAAGGUGCGAUGUCCAUUUCGGCCUGUUUAUCGCGAAAUGGAAAAAAACGGUCGCAGCUAUAAAGUUUUCAAGGUUGCCAACUGGCUGCGGGCGCACCCCGGGCGAACCUUAGAAGAUUACGAUCUUGUUCAUUCAAGACGUUUGGAGGAUAUGGCUCGCUUUUGGCGAAACCAUCAGAAGACUAAACGCCAGGAAUCGAUCUUUCAGCGUCGUUACAGUUUAGUCUGUGUUUCGCCCCCUACUCCUCUUAAGGUUGUGUAUAAUAUUAGUAGUGAUGACGAACCUAAUUCGUCCGACCAUUCCUUAGGGAGGGAUAAUGAUUACUGGGGCGAAAAUGUAAUUUACUUGUAAAAUGAAUUGUAUUGGGUUGUAAACCUUGUAUUCUUCGAUUAUUUUUUCGAAGCUAAUAAAGAACGUGCUUUAUUUCCUUUUCGCUAUUUUUCGCAUCGUCACACUUUGUGCUUUUGUUAGGUCGGAACAUGCCGGCCCCUUUGCAUAUAGUAGCGAAAUAGGUGUAGUGACUUCUUUUCGUCGUUCGUUUUCGAUCUGUAGCGUUCUGUGUCGAGAGAAACGCUUUUGCUUUUAUGCUGAUCGGUCGUAACGUCGUUCGGCUAUUUAUUUUCCGAGACAAGCUGUUGCGGUUUCAACGUUCGGCGAGCAAUGCUUCGGCCGAUUCGUUUCGCCCCCCUGGUCUUUUUCGCUGAUCAGGCGUUUGUCUUGGGGUUUUUCCACAAAUUAUCAAUCACACGAAAAGAAAUAAAAAGAAGGCGGAGGACACAAAGAUUUUAUACUGGUUCGGGCCUCCAUGGUGGAUAAUAGCCCUACAUCCAGUUUUUUUUUCUUUUUCUCUUCUCUUUUUUCCUUUUUUUUUCUUGCCGAAAGGCUUAUAUAGUGCCGAAAGGCUUACAUGACAGUAUGUACAUUUUUACAAGUUGGCGAUUUGGGUGCCACCCAUUCUAGACAUAAAAGCGCUUGAGGGAGGCGGCGUUCCAGGAAUGGUCGAACUCCUCGCCUUCGAGUGUCGCUAGGCGAAAAGAUCCCGUCCUGGACUUGUGUUUGAUAAUGUAUGGUCCUUCCCACUUUGAUUCAAGCUUGCCAACCGCUAAUGGGUUCGCCUUUUUCCUUAGGACAAGAUGACCAGGCAUCAGCUCCGUGGGUCGGACUUUUUUGUUGUAAGUUGCCGAAGUGCUUGUGGCGUACUUGUGCAUGUGCUCGAGCGCUUCGACCCUUACAGCUUCCAAGAGUUCGAGCGAUACCUCGCGCCCCUCUUCGCCCCCGGAGAACAUAACCCUUGGUGAGUUAGCCCCUAGCUCCGCUGGGAUCAUUGCAUCAUCGCCAUAAAGAAGCAUAAAUGGGCUAAACUUGGUUGGUCUUAUGGGGGUCGUCCGAAGGGCCCAAAGAACCGAUAACAAUUCUUCUGGCCAUUUGCCUUUCGCCGCCCCCUCAAGUCUUUUCUUUAGUGCUUCUAAGAUCUUGCCAUUUGUACGUUCGGCCGCCCCAUUUGACUGUGGGUGCGCGACCGACGCGAACCUGAUUUCUAGGUUAAGCGCUUCGCACAUUUCUCUGAACUUAUCAGAGUCAAACUGCUUGCCGUUGUCAGUAAUGAACUCUUUUGGCACCCCGAAAUGGCAAAUAAUAUUUUUCCAUACAAACUUCUGUACUGCUGCCGAAGUGAUUGCCCCAAGGGGUUCGGCUUCGAUCCAUCGAGAGAAAUAUUCCACAGCUACAAUUACGAAUUUAUACCCGUUUCGCGCCACCGGGAAUGGCCCAAUAAUGUCCAGUCCCCAUCUGGCGAAGGGCCAUAUUGGUGCAAUGGGCUGCAGAUCAUACUGGGGCGCGGCUUGGCUUCGGCCAUGACGCUGGCAACUUUCGCACUUCUUGAUUUGCUCAACACAGACUUUCAUCACAGUGGGCCAAUAAAGUCCUUGUCUAAAUACUUUGGAGGCCAUUGUUCUUGCAGCCUGGUGCGCGCCACAUAGCCCUUGGUGUAUUUCCUUUGCCAUUUCUUCGCCUUCGGCAAAAGAGAUGCAACAAACUAAGGGUUGAAGUACCCCGGAGCGGUAAAGCUGACCCGAGACCAUCUUAUACUUCGUGGCUCUGAGUUGCAAACGCUUCGCUUCUGCUUCGUCUACCGGAAGCCAGCCAGUUUCAAGGUGUUUCACAAAUGGGGUUCGCCAGUCAUAUGAGUCUUCGCCCAGUUUCUCUUGGUCGAUUGUCAUGACUUCCGAGCUGUCCAUGGGCACACUUGGAGCAUGUAGGACUUCGAAAAAGAUGCCAAGCGAAUGCGGGCCACCACAAGCAGCGGAUUUCACCAAGGCGUCUGCUUCAUCGUUUUGGUCUCUAGGCAAGUGUUCGACCGUUAUGCCGGUGAAGCAUUUUUCCAUGGACCGAACAGCCUCCAGAUACCUCUUCAUUCCCUUUUCUUUUGCCUCGAAGGAUUUGUCAACAUGGCCUGCUACCAACUUGGAGUCAGUUCGAAUUAGCAGGCGCCGGACUCCCAGUGCUUUCGCCUUUCUUAGGCCCAGGAGAACGGCUUCAUAUUCUGCUGCAUUGUUGGUUGUGUUGAACUGUAAUCUCGCUGCGUACCGAAUCGGCACACCAUUCGGCAAAAAGAGGACUGCCGCAACGCCUGCCCCCUUGUGCGACCACGAACCGUCAGAGCACAUCACCCAGAACUGGUCAUCGGGCUCGGGCUCGGGGGCAAGUACUGGUGUCCAUUCAGCUACGAAGUCAGCUAGCACUUGAGACUUGAUAGCAGAGCGUGCAACAAAAUGCAAGUCGAACGGGGAUAGCUCUGCCGCCCACUUGCUGAGCCGGCCAGUGACUUCCUUGCCUCGGAGUAUUUCGCCCAAGGGGUACUGUGAUGGGACUAUGCUUUGUGGGCCUGGAAGUAGUGCUUAAGCUUGCGCGAAGCCAUUACUAGAGCGUAAGCAAGCUUUUCCAUUUCAAUGUACCUUGUCUUCGCUCCUUGCAGUGCUUCGGAGACGAAGUAGACCGGUUUCUGUCCGGACUCUGUUUCUUGGACGAGUGCAGCACUGACUGCCACCGGUGAAGCUGCCAAGUAUAACAGCAGUUCGCUUCCUGGGGGUGGGCUUAUCAGAGCUGGCGGGCUUUGCAAGUAUUGCUUUAGCUCGUCGAAUGCUGCUUGGCACUCUGGUGUCCAAUUAAACUUUCCCGCGCCCCGGAGGGUCUUGAAGAAGGGCAAACCUCUUUCGGCCGCCUUUGAGAGGAAUCGACUGAGUGCUGCAAUUCGGCCUGUAAGCUUUUGUACUUCAUGUACGCUUGACGGAGGCUUCAUUUGCUGGAUGGCAUCGAUUUUCUCGGGAUUCGCCUCGAUGCCCCUUUCGGAAACAAGGAAACCCAACAACUUGCCUGCGCGGACGCCAAAAACGCACUUCACCGGAUUCAGCUUUAUGCCUGCCGCGCGCAAGCUGUCGAACGUCUCUUGCAGGUCGAACGCAUGGUCGAAAGCCUUGCGGCUUUUUACGACGAUGUUGUCGACGUAAGCUUGUACGUUUCGCCCAAGCUGCUUGCCAAGGACCUUGUACACCAGCCUGGCGAAGGUUCCUCCUGCGUUCCUUAAGCCGAAAGGCAUCCUGAGGUGACAAAAUGUGCCGAAUGGAGUGAUGAAGGAUGUUUUGGGGAUGUCGAGCGGGUUCAUGUGGAUCUGGUGGUAACCGGAAUAUGCAUCCAGGAAACUCAUGAGCUCGUGUCCAGCUGUUGAAUCCACGAGCUGGUCGAUUCGCGGCAAGGGGAAAUCGUCUUUCGGACAUGCCUUGUUCAGGUCUGUGAAAUCGACACACAUGCGCCAUUUGCCAUUUGACUUCCGCACCAGCACUGGAUUCGCCAACCACUCCGGAUGGUCAAUCUCUUGAAUAACCCCCGCCCAGAGUAAUUUUUGUACUUCGGUCUUCGCCGCUUCUUGGUGAUCGGCAAACAUCUUGCGCAACUUUUUCUUUCUUGGCUUAAUAUUUGGCUUGACUGCUAAGUGAUGCAUGAUGAGAUCCGCCGGGACGCCCCCCACCUCGUUAGGGCUCCAGGCGAAGAUAUCGAUGUUCUUUUUGAGCACCUCUAGCAUGCUCUCAACUUCUUCUUCGCCUAUGUGGCCCCCCCAGUGAUACGAGCUUUGUGGGGUCGGCAUCGUCAAUCUGCACUUUUGUUAUCUUGCCGUGAGGGGUGGGCUUCGGCGUGUGCUUGGGCCGCUCAUGCGGUUCGGUCUCAACAUUGUGCACUGCUCUGUUGAUUAUGGCUAGAUCGCGUUUUGAAGCGGCCGAAGGCUGAAGCCCCUUGACUACUAUCACCCCUGUUGGGCCAGGCAUCUUGAGCUUGAGAUAAUUAUGGUGGGAAAUGGCUUCGAACUUGUUCAGGGUUGCACGGCCGAAGAUGGCGUUGUAGUUGUAUGGGAUGUCGACGACGUCGAACAGUAUUUGCUCUUCGCGCCUGUUUUCUCCUAAGCCGAAAGCUAUCAGCAAAAGUGCUUGGCCAAGAACUUGCACUGCCUCUCCGCCGAACCCCCGGAGCGACGUUGGUGCCGGUGCAAGAGCUUGGGUUGGCAAGCCCAUCUUAGCAUAUGCUUCGGCGAAGAUCACGUCGGCCGAACUCCCCCUAUCGACCAGGAUUCGUCGGACUUCAAAACCGGCUAUCUCAGCUGAGAUUACCAGUGGAUCUUGAUGCGGGAAUAGGACUCCUUCGUCGUCUUCUGGCCCAAAAGAGAUCAGCUGGUUCACGUACUGUGGCGCCCCCUCACCCGCCGAAGUGAUGUUGUGGACCAUACGGAUCUGCAUCUUCCUCCGCCGUUUCGACAACAGGCUUGGCGGAUCAGCUCUUGUAAUCACUUGGAUUACCCUUCGUUGUGUAUCUUGGCGUUGUUCGGCUGGGGGUAUUUGCUCCUGAACUGCUUCACGGGGUGCUUCGACAGUUGUUCCUUGCUGCGGCCUUGGGUCUUGCGCGUUGCCACGUUGCCUAAUGUUUCGGCAUUGCUCCGUGGUGUGCGAAGAGCAUUCGUGAAAAGCGCAGUAGAGGUCUUUUCGGACCUUCUUGCGGGCUGGCUGCUGAUGGUUGCUUGCUUGCUGGGCGUCGAACUCCUUGCGUAGGGCUUGCACUUCUUCGACAGCCAUCACAGCCUUGCCCGCCCGAUCUGUUCUGAACUUUCUCCAAGUCAUGGGGGCUUGGCCUUGCCUUGGCGGCUGUCCCUGGAUCGCCGGCUAAGACUGGCGAACAGAGAAGGGAGGUGGAUCGGCAAUUUGAACUUGUGCUUGAGCUUGAGCAGCGGCGACGGAGGCUUUAUCGUACUCAGCUUGUAUAGCUUGCCGUCGCUUAGAAUCCUCCUCGCCCCUUGCGAACCCGUCAAUGAUGCGAAGUAGGUGCUCGAGCGUCUGCGGCUCCUUGUUGGCGAUUUUUCUUGUUAGUUCGCCCUCAAGCAGACCGGCCGAAGCGGCGUUUAUAACCGACGCCUCGGUUAUGUCUUGAACUUGGCACCGGGCUUGCGAGAAGCGACGCAUGUACUCCCUUAUCGACUCUCCCGGCCUUUGGCGAAUGCCAAGAAGGUGUUGCUGCGUCUUCGGCUCCUCAUAGGUGCCUCAAAAGUUAAGGACAAAAACAUCGCGCAAUUGCUCCCAUGAGUAAAUGCUAUUGGCUGGUAAAUUGAAAUACCAAGAACGGGCGAUGCCGUCUAGAGCGAGAUGUAUUACCUUCGCCUUGGUAUUUUCGUCACCAUGAGCCGCUUCGAUCGCUGACUCGUAGAUGGAGAGGAACUCCUUCGGGUCAGUUUCGCCCGAAUAAUGUGGGACAGGUGGGAACUUGAACUGGGGCGGGAUUGGACGAGUCUUGAUUCCCCCACUCAGCGGCAGCCCCUUUUCGCCUCCCGCCCUGUUUACCGCACCUUGCUGCGGGUACGGUAUGGCAAAGGGCGAAAUCACGGCUUGUGCGUGGAGUUGGGCCGCGGCAUUCGACUACCCGGCUCCAACUGGUGGUACUUGCUGGGCCACCAUGGAUGGGUCAAAGAUUGGCUGCGACGACAUCAUGGCAGCUUGGAUUGGUGCUUGGUUUGUUCCGAAGCCUAGGGUUGGAACUUGCUGCCGAACGGUUGUCACCUGAGCAGUGUUGCCGAAGUCGAACUACUGUCCUUUACUCCACGGCGAAGGUCCCGAGCUUGGCUGAAUCGGUGGCAACCAAUUAGGUGCACCUUGACUUGUAUUCCCCACCGGGUGAGCCGAUGGGGUUGUACUUGAAAUGUAGUGGGGUUGGUUGAGUUGCUGAAGGAAAGCUUAGAGUUGCGCCUGCAGAGUCGAAGCCCCUUCCGUCACUGUUUGUGUCACUUGGCCAGGUGGUUGAUGCUGCUCGGCGAAGUACACCGGCGGCUGUGCGGCUAGUGGUGGAGAGGGCUGGGUCACCACUUGCGGCCGGACUUGAGGUGGGGCAUAGCCUGCCGAAUACUGAAGGAUUGGAGCCGACGUUGCCUUGGUCCGCCUUGUCGCCUCGUAUGCUUGUUGUUGUUCUUACAUUUGGCAAAGCAUGUCUUGGAGCCGUGUCAUGUUCUGCCGCAUGGCUUCCAUGUCGGCUUCGGCUUGCACUUCGGGGUCCAGGCUGAUUUGGGCCUGUACAACGGCGAGCGCAAUCGGCGCCGCCGGCUGUGAUGGGGCGGCUUGAGGCACCACCAGUUGGUUUGUCGAAAGGUUCCCCGCCCUGGUCUGGAGUGCCCUUGCCGCCGCAGCCGCCUUCGCCACAUCGGCCGUGUUCGGCACUUGCACUGAGGUUGCGGGGGCCGAAGACAGUUGUGAUGGCGCGGGGGCCGAAGGCGGCUGUGAUGGCGCUUGUCCUUCUCCAUCUUCGGCCACGGACGCCGAAGGCUCUGCUCCUUCCUCGGCGGCCAUGUCUGGUCCGUCGUCGCUCUCCUUCCGCCUGACGGCCUUCUCCUUCACGACCCUCUUCGGUGGCACUCGCUCUCAGUGGUUUCGCUCGGAGUCCCCAUGGACGGCGCCAGCUGUUGUCGAAACGACAACUGCAUACGUCGAAGGACGUGGUUACUCAACAGCGGUUGGGAAAAUGAAGUGUACUAAAUUUUGAAUUUUCCUUGGGAUCCCCCCAUUACAUGGCCCUAGGGGACUAUUUAUAGCCCCAUUACAGGUCCUUACUACCAGGGUUUAGGUUAUACAGGGGAAUUUACAUGAUUACCCUUACAAAAGAGGCAUUUACAGGGGUACAUAAUGUUAUAGGUGCUCAUGGGCCCCUGAUGGGCCGUCUGGCGAUCGCCGGCCUGAUGGGCCGGAAAGGCUUCCUCGGCCCUCGCGGGGGCGAACUUAUCAAGGCGAAGUCAUCCUCCUUCGGCAGACAGUCUUCGCCUUGCACCCUUCGCCUGAGACGCCUCUGGCCUGGCGCUACUCUUCGCCUUGCGCCGCUCUUGCUCCAUAGCCUUCGCCAUAGGUUUCGGCAGGUUUGGUCGAAGAGCCUCAUGCCAUCCGCCAACAGACCGAAUGCCCACCCCUAAUGGUGGAGGAUGAGCAAAUGGUGGAUUAAAGUACAGUUUAACAACGUUCUAAAAUUAUCUCAGCUCAUGGGAUAAGAAAGUAAUGUUGGUUGGUUUUAUCGGCUAAUACCGGUUAGCUAGGGAAGGGGUAAAAUCCUACCAGAUUUCCUUUCCUAACAGGAAAGAAACGAAACAAUAAACGAAGGGACAAGAGAUAAACGUUACCGUGAUUGGUGAUAACAAAUUUUGAGUCUUAUCCGGAUCGACCCCGAGUCUCACCAGUGCAAAUAAAAAGAAAUGAAGGCAUUGAGGAGAGGUGACGACUAAUUCUCUACGUGUAAAUUCUGAAGCCCUAAAAAAGAGCCCGAUUGAUCUCAAACAGUGGAAAGGGUUUAUAGUGCAAACCACUCCUGUGCAGGUGAAUCAAGAAGGACAACAGAAGAAUCAAAAGAAAUUAGCAAAACUUCAAUUCAUCUGGUCAGUAAUUAUCUCAAUUCCGUAUUUAGAAUUGAUGAUCAUGUCUUAAGCUAAAAAAUAGAUCUUGAGUAAAUAAUUUCAACAAGUAAACGCCACCAUUAAUGAUACCUCUAUUUUCUAAAAAAAAAACCCAUUAAUGAUACCUCUUGCUGCUCUGCCAUCGCAUUGGUCGCCUAAUUACGGUUGCUUAAUUUCAUCCAAAUCCGAUCCAUCGCUCUCGAUCGAUGCUGCCUGCUGAAGAUCAUAGCUUGGGAUUUGGGAAUUGAAGUUGGGGCCUACAUAUGGUCAUAUGCCCAUCCACGUACAGUUGCAAACAUGCUCCUCUGAUUUCCUGCCGGGUCCGUGUCACGCGUCUACAGGACAAGCUUGUGUUGUGUGUGGAGUACACAAGGACGUACAAGAUGCUGUUUAUCAUUGUACGGAACGGAGGUUUAUGGCAGGUAAACGUCGCGUGAGUGACAGGACAUGGAGCUAAUUCCUGACGUUAACAGAGUUGAUUACUAUACUACUUCAUUUUACUUUAACUGUUUUAAAAUAUAAGGCUCGUAAGUUUUUUAAGGUAGCUUUAACAUAAAGUUUUGAAUAUUAAUAUAUUUCUUUUACUAUCAACGGCUAUAUAAAUUUGGUAUCAUAUGAAAAAUACAUUUAAAUGAAUGUAAUAAUGUCACAUGGUGCAAAACAUAUAAAUUAUUUUUAUAAUACAGCAAAUGCACAUGUACACACAACACCACCCUCGCACACCCUCGUGAACCCAUCUUUUAACACACGGUUAAAGAGACAGAAACCAACCAUACAUUCUUAAUUUCACUAAAUUUCUAUUAAAACAGUGUAUUCUUGAUUUCAUAAAAUUCUUAUAAUCACCCGUGCUCCCUAAUACAUAUAAAUUAUUAGUUCAAUUAUUAAUUAAAGUUUGUAAAUUUUGAUUUUUUUUAAUAAAAAAACAUGUGGAUGUCUUUUGCGGUGGGACUAGAGUAGUACAGUAGUGCUCCUUCGGCUCCUGAAUGGUCAUUUCUUUUUUUUGACUCUUGUGAAUACUCUCUGCUGCAUUAGCCUGCUGUAUGAUUAUCUCCUCUGCAGUCUGCAGUGUGCACCAAUGGCGAGCUGGUCAGUCAUUUACAACAUUGGCUGGGUGUUUCCCUUCAAACUUCAAAUUUUUCCGUUAUUUAAAAUUUUUUUGAAAAAAUUUAAAAACAUAAGUCACGAGUAAAGUACUAUUCAUGUUUUAUCAUAUCAUAACAAACAAAAAAUAUUAAUUAUAAAAAAAUUUUAAAUAAGACGGAUGAUUAAAAUUGGACGUGAAAACUUAUGGUUAGACUGAAAUGGGACAGAGGGAGUACUAGCAGGAGACAGUGGCAACGAUGUGUUUACCAAUGGGGAAAUUAUGGUACCCCGCACUUUGUCGGUGUAUUCUACUAGUAACUAAUAGUAGAAUAGUAAAAUCAACAAAAAUCAAUGCAGGUCAUGAGUUAAACCGUGAACCUGCAGAGGGCAGACUGGAACAAACCAGGUACAGAUUGGAUUACCCAUGAUGCUUAUUUUACGUACUAAUGCCUCCCUCUCAAAAAUAAAUUCAUUUUCUAUCGAUCCAACGUAUAUCAAUAUAAAACCAAAAUAACUAGAAAAUCCCCACUUUAUCAAAUCCAAAUUUAAUUAUGUUUCUUUAUCUACCCUGAUACAUUUAUCAUAUACUUUUACAAACUCUGAUGUACUGAUUGCUUGAAAAAAGAUAUUAUUUUGAGAUAAAUGGGAGGGACCAAAGACUUAUGUAGAGAUGGAGGGAGGAGAAGAGAGCCCGUACCAUUUUCACUGUAUUUAUGAAGGGCGCUAAUUCAAAAUGUAAUAUUUAGGAUAAACAGUUUUGAUAUUUUAGUGUUGGAUAGUACUCUCUCCGUUUUACAAUGUAAGUCAUUCUACCAUUUCCCACAUUCAUAUUAAUGUUAAUGAAUCUACACAUAUAUAAUCUAGAAGAAACUCAACAGGAGCAGUAUUAAACAGAACUGGACAGCAUAGAAGAUGCACACACAUAUAUAUUAUUAUUUAUAUACACUACUAAGUAGAAAAGAAUGCCACAGACACGGUAAUAAAAAUGGCAGUAGAUACAUAAGAAAUAAUUUAAUUACACUAGCUAGCAGUGGCACAUCUGAAAAAACAACGUGAAAUAAAAGGGAAAAAAAGCAAGCAGAAAGCUAGCUCAUCACUUUAUUCCAGAAACGGUACAGUGUAGUGACUCGCUCGCUCCUCCCUCUGGCGAAAUAAUGUCGUCAAUGCCUCAAUCGUGCAGCAGCAAGUGCUCGGUCUCCGGUGAUCGCCGUCACUGGUCGGUCGCUGGCGGUAUGUGCGGCGGCUUGUGCUUCUUCGGAGGUGCUUCAGGUUUUGGCUCAGGCUUAGGCUUAGGUUUCGGUUCAGGCUUUGGCUCUGGGUAUGGUUUAGGCUCCGGUUUUGGUUCGGGCUUAGGCUCUGGUUUAGGUUCAGGCUUCGGCUCUGGUUUUGGCUCCGGCUGUGGCUUGGGCUCUGGCUUUGGUUCUGGGUGUGGUUUGGGUUCUGGUUUGGGAUCCGGUUUAGGCUCUGGAUAUGGUUUGGGCUCUGGUUUUGGUUCAGGCUUUGGCUCAGGCUUCGGUUCAGGCUCUGGUUUUGGCUCUGGUUUUGGUUCAGGUUUUGGCUCUGGCUUUGGUUCUGGCUUGGGCUCAGGCUUAGGCUCAGGCUUAGGGUGUGGCUUGGGCUCAGGCUUUGGCUUUGGCUCUGGCUUUGGCUCUGGUUUUGGUUCAGGUUUUGGCUCCGGCUUUGGUUCUGGCUUUGGCUCAGGCUUAGGCUCAGGCUUUGGUUCAGGCUUAGGCUUAGGCUCAGGGUAUGGCUUGGGCUCAGGCUUUGGCUUUGGCUCUGGCUUUGGCUUUGGUUUUGGUUCAGGUUUUGGCUCCGGCUUUGGUUCUGGCUUUGGCUCAGGCUUAGGCUCAGGCUUUGGUUCAGGCUCAGGGUGUGGCUUGGGCUCAGGCUUAGGUUCAGGCUUAGGCUCAGGCUCUGGGUGUGGCUUAGGCUCAGGUUUCGGAUCAGGCUUUGGUUCUGGGUGUGGUUUGGGCUCUGGCUUUGGUUUGGGCUCCGGUUUUGGUUCCGGCUUCGGUUCCGGUUUUGGCUCUGGCUUCGGCUCUGGGUACGGCUUUGGUUCUGGUUUUGGUUCUGGCUUAGGCUCAGGUUUAGGCUCCGGCUCAGGUUUUGGCUCUGGCUUCGGCUCCGGUUUUGGCUCUGGGUAUGGUUUAGGUUCAGGCUUAGGCUCAGGUUUUGGUUCUGGCUUUGGUUCCGGUUUAGGCUCAGGCUCAGGUACUGGUUUUGGCUCCGGCUCUGGCUUGGGCUCAGGUUUUGGCGUGGGUUUAGGAUGAGGCUUUGGCUUUGGCUUCGGCUCCGGCUCCGGCAGCUUCUCGUAUGUCACACGACCCUGCUUGCUCAUGAAGCGGGCGCCAUGGCCGAGCCCCCGGCCAGCAGCCGCCGCUUCAUCAAUGAAGGCGCUCGCCACC